CCAAAGAAUGGAAAAGAUUCUUCAAGAGUCUCGGGUCCCAGAAGCGCAUGAUAAAUGCCACCGAAGCCUAAGACUGCGGAGGAAAUUAAGUGAAGUACUCCGGAUACAAAGUAAGGAAAAGUAUCUAGAACUUCUCCCCCCGGCCCUACUCCCCAACCUAGAGUAGCUAAGUGCGGAAGUAAAAUCAACCCUUGUUCAUACAUGGGCUUUUCUGGUACGAAAUGGGCCACUUCAAAUAGGUUCAUUGCUCCGGCCCAGAAUACGAUUAAUCCGGCAUGGGCUACAUGAGCUCCAAGUAGUUUACCGGACAAAUUGAUAAGUCUGGCAUUCCCAGCCCACCAAGCAAAGCCAGUGGUUUCUUGGUCACGACCAGCUAAAACGAAAGUUCCAUUAAAGAGCGUUUCCACGUGGUAGAACCUCCUCAGGGAAUAUAAGAUUUUCAUGAGGCUCAAAAAGCCGAGUCUGUCCCUGAUCGCCCUCUCGCCCUGUGCAGAGGCUCGGGGGCUGCUCUCGCAAACCCGGCUCCGGCCGAACCGUUGACAGCGUCAACAUACCAGCCCGAGAACUUGGGACCCGACCGUACCCCCAGGCUAUGGCCAGCUCGCAUGAGGGAACGACCAGACCAGCCGAAGCAUUACGCGAGGCAUUAAGACCUCGAAGGAGUGAAACCACUCCUCCGAGGCCUCGGGGGCUACACCCGGCGGGUGCGCUCGCGCGCACCCACCGGAACAAAACGCAACCGAGAAAGGCUGGUCCCCUUGCAAAAAAGUGCGACGAAAGCCUCCAAGCGAGUGCUAACACUCCCUUCGAGGCUCGGGGGCUACUGUCAGGGACCAUAAUUAGGGGUACCCUCAAGGCUCCUAAUUCUCAGCUGGUAACCCCCAUCAGCAUAAAGCUGCAAAGGCCUGAUGGGUGCGAUUAAGUUAGGGAUCAGUCCAUUCGAGGGACUCGAUCACGCCUCGCCCGAGCCUAGCCUCGAACAAGGGCAGCCGACCCCGGAGGAUUUCCGUCUCGCCCGAGGCCCCCCUCCAGCGGCGAACAUAUUUCCGGCUCGCCCGAGGCCCUGUCUUCGCCAAGAAGCAAGCCUGACCAAAUCGCCGCACCAACCGGCCAAAUCGCAGGGGCAUUUAAUGCAAAGGUGGCCUGACACCUUUAUCCUGACGCGCGCCCCCAGCCAGCAGAGCCGAAGUGACCGCCGUCACUUCGCCGCUCCACUGACCGGCCUGACAGAAGGACAUCGCCGCCUGCGCCACUCCGACUGCGGUGCCACUUGACAGAGUGAGACUGACAGGCAGUCAGGCCCGGCCGAAGGCACCAUAGGAAACUCCGCUCCGCCCGACCCAGGGCUCGGACACGGGCUAAGUCCCGGAAGACGGCGAACUCCGCUCCGCCCGACCCAGGGCUCGGACACGGGCUAGGUCCCAGAAGACGGCGAACUCCGCUCCGCCCGACCCAGGGCUCGGACACGGGCUAAGUCCCGGAAGAUGACGAACCCCGCUUCGCCCGACCCCAGGGCUCGGACUACGCCCUGUUCUCAGCCGACGGUCUCCGCCUCGCCCGACCCAGGGGCUCGGACUCGACCUCGGCCACGGAAGACAGACUCGACCUCGGCUUCGGAGGAGCUUCCACAUCGCCCAACCUAGGGCGCAGACCAGCCACGUCAACAGGAGGCGCCAUCAUCACCCUACCCCGAGCUGACUCGGGCCGCAGGGAACAAGACCGGCGUCCCAUCUGGCUCGCUCCGCCAGAUAGGCAAUGAUGGCGCCCCGCAUACUCUGUGACGACGGCGGCUCUCAGCCCCCUUACGGAAGCAAGAGGACGUCAACAAGGACUCAACCGCUCCGACAGCUAUCCCUCCGCCAGGCUCCAUCGCUCCUCCGACGGCCACGACAUCACACCAGCUGGGCGCCAAGAUCUCUCCGGCUGCCACAACGGCAUGUACUUAGGGCGCUAGCUCUCCUCCGCUAGACACGUAGCACUCUGCUACACCCCCCAUUGUACACCUGGAUCCUCUCCUUACGCCUAUAAAAGGAAGGACCAGGGCCCUCUUAGAGAGGGUUGGCCGCGCGGGGACGAGGACGAGACAUGCGCUCGCUCGAAGCCGCUCGCUCCCUCUCCCGCGUGGACGCUUGUAACCCCCUACUGCAAGCGCACCCGACCUGGGCGCGGGACGAACACGAAGGCCGCGGGAUUCCCACCUCUCUCACGCCGGUCUCCGGCCGCCUCGCUCUCCCCCCUUCGCGCUCGCCCUCGCGCUCGACCCAUCUGGGCUGGGGCACGCGGCAACAUUCACUCGUCGGCUCAGGGACCCCCCGGUCCCGGAACGCCGACACUAUUGUUUAUUUGUUGUAACAGAGAAUUCCAAUCGCGACUUAAUGAGAAAUUGUCCUCGAGGCAGUAUGAAAAUGCCCUUCAAGGAAGACAUGGGAAGCCCAAUUUCAUUAAUUGGUUCCGAGCUCAUGUAAAUAAAUUAAGACUCUUGUUCUACUUUAUUUAUUAUGUUUAAGAAAUCUAAUUUCACUAUCUAAUUGGCAGUGUGAUAAAAUUCCAAAUUUAGACGAGGACUUUCUUCAGAUGUCUUACGCAAUCAUAAAAGUCAGAAGUUACUAUUGUUAUGACAUUAAGGGGUUUCAUUUUUGUUCGACCAAAUGUGAGUCUACUCGUUCAUUUGCAGCAACAAGACAUACUGGAGUUAUAUGUAGGGCAGUCAAUGAUCGUGGAAGAGAGAUGAAUUAUUAUGGAGUUAUUAAUGACAUACUCGAGUACGACUUGCUGGUAGCAAAAAUCUUAAGGUGGUGUUUUCAAAUAUGAUUGGUUUGAUCCUAAUCAAGGGACUGUAGAAAACCAAUUUGGCAUGGUAGAAGUCAAACAUGAGCUCAAAACAAAUGCAUGUAGCAAAUUUGUUCUUGCUCACCAAGUUGACCAGGUGUAGUACAUACCGUAUCCAUGUACAAAGCUGGAAGCCACAUGGGUACUGUACAAAGUUAAUCCUCGUGAAUGGUUACACAACAAGGGUCAAUGGUUCGAGGAAGAAGUUGAAGAAAUUUACCAAGAAGAUGAACUCCUGACCAAUUUUAAUAUAGAUACUGAGGUUUUGCCAGAAUCCUUAGUGGGAGAUUCUGAAGAUGUAGUAAGUCCUAAAAAGGAAACAUAAGUCAAAGAAGAAAACAUUGAAUCGAAGGAAACAAUUUGAUCCUUAUUUCAAAUAAGACUGAAAAGUAAUCAUGUAUUAAUUAUUCUUUUCAAUACAUUAUGUUCAUUUACUUUAUGUUCAUUUACAUUAUGCUCAUUUACUAAUUUGAUUUUGUUCUAAUAACAGGAUGUCUAAAAAGGUGAAGCAGUUCACUAAGGGACUUGCGAAGAGAGCGUCCUUUGUUAUGAGAAAGGAGGACUUAGUGUUUAAGGGCAUUUGUUCCAGCUCGAGUAGGCGUAGAGCUUUGUUGGAGCAUGUUCUAGAGUUGCAGGGUCAGACAGUCGGCGUUCAGAGGAAUGAGGUAACCAUUAUUUGUUUUGCAAUGUAAUGUUUGUAUGAGUUCGUAUAACUAAAUUAUUAAUGUAAUAUUUGUUUUGCAAUGCAAUGUAAUGUUUGUAGGAUGAGUAUGAAGAUGAGGUAGAGACAGAGGAGGGGAGAUAGGUGGGAGAUGUUGAAGAUGAGGUAGAGACAGAAAAGGGGAGAUAGGUGGGAGAUGUUAAAGAUGAGGUAGAGACAGAGGAGGCGGAGACAGGGUGGGGAUGCCAUGAUACUGGUGGUUUGGGACAUGAUAGCCAUAGUGGAUGUCGUGAAUGGCCUGAGGAUGCAAGUGGAUGGCCAAGAGAUGGAGGGUCAGGAGUUGGGGGAGCUAGUGGGUAAAGGGAAGGAGAAGCUAGUGGUUUUGGAAGCGAGGGAGUUGGAGGGUCUUCACGGGUCCAGAAGCCGCAGAGAACUAGUUGGGUCCCCCUCCUAAAGAACCAGUUGAUAGGGUUGAGAUAAUACUAACUGGAGAUGGGUAAGAGUAUCCUUGCUUCAUUCUUAUGUCUUACACUAUUACACGAUUACAUUUUGAAUUUGAAAAUUGUUCUUGUGCUGUUAGGGCUUGGGUGGAUAGUAGUUUCACCAGCACAGGUUGUCAAAGGCAAUAAAGAAAGUGUUGGGCAAUAUAUGUCGUAUGGAAUGGCCUGGAUUGGUGAUAGAGGAUGGUAAGGAGGUCCCUGUCACAAGAUGGGAUCAAUAUGCCCUUGCAAUAAAUGCACAACAUGGGAAUGCGCAAGCUGCAGUUUGGCAUGACUUCUGGGUAUGUUAGAAUUUUUUGUUAAGUUGUAAUCUUGAUGAUUGUUUCACAUUAUGGAUUUUGACUAUGCUUCUUUUUUUAGAAACAUUACAAGUUGCCUGAAGGAGAUACUCAUAGGGAACACGCACACUCCAUGUUCCAUAGGUAUGUGGCAAGUGUUGUUGGGGAUAUGAUGUACUAUGCUUGAAUCCAGGUGAUUAGUCAAGCUAUGUUGGGUAGUGAAGGGCGACGUCCAGAGAGUAAGAACGAGGCGACACAGUAUGGACUCAAUAUAACUGAGAAACAAUAUCUUGAGGUAAUUGAUGUUUUUGCUUGUGUUGAAAAAAAUUUCCAUUGCUUCUAGAUAUUACAGUUACUUAUAAACGAAUUGUGUUCAUGCAUCAUUCAAUUCCAUGGAUAGCCGCCAAUGAUGCUACUUGGCGUGCGUUAUGCCGUUACUGGGCUUCGGCUGGAUUCAAGGCAAAGUCUGUGUGACACAGUUCCAAUCGUGGAACCGAGUCAUAUCACAGGUAUGGAGGUGAUGAUCACUUUCGUUUGGCAAAAUGAAUGGUAAGUACAAUUUAAUCCAUUUUCGUUGAUUGUAGUUGACUUGCUGUAAUUUCUGGUUAUAAUGCUUGUCAAAUGUACAUACAGGAAGCUAGCAUUGGUGUAGUGCCCAGUGAUGUUCAAAUAUACCUUAGGGGGCACAGAGGACCAGAUCCUGCAAAUCCAGAUGUGUUGUGCAGCCAAAAGGCAACAGAUCGUGUGGUGAGUGUUUUGAAAUGUUUGGUAGGUUCUGUUUAUAUGGAAUCUUGUAUGUAAGAUUGCAUUGUUCUUUUGUAUGAGGCUGCAUAUGGCGAGGCGAUGUCUAGUCAUCACGGACCAGACUAUGACUGGAGGACCUCACCUAUUGAUCCUCAGGUUGUGUAUGCAAGUGGUGGAAAAGCUCAUGGAAGGUGCGGACUCUACAUAUCUUAUAUUGUUUCAUUGGUUGAGUGCAAUACAUGUAUUCUUAAUUUGUCGUGAUGUUACUUGUUUUGUAGGUACACAAUGUUUGCUAACUUCAUCGACUCGAUCCAGGUGAGGGUUCAGCGUGGAGGUUCGUCGAGGUCUGCUGCUCAUAGCUCCCGUCGCUCCACUCAAGAUCCAGCAGAAGUGGAGCAACUGCGAGAAGAACUUAGGCGACAUCAGGAUUACUUGAAGCAACAAGCUGCAUGUCAUGAAUAUUAUGCUACACAGAUUCAACAACAGCAAACAGUCAUACAAGUAAGUUCAAAAGAUAAUAGCUUUCACUUUAAGAUAUGUAUUGAUUUAAAACGCUGAUGUGAAUGAGUUCAACAAAUUUGUAGCAACUAGCACAGGCCCAAGGGAUACACGUCCCGGUGCCCCCACUACCACCACCACGCCCCGUUCAUUAUCCUUGGUCUUCACCUCCACCUACACCUACAUCUCCACCUACCAAACAUCAGGUAUGCAAAUUCAUCACCAUUUACUUGUUGUUAGUUAUAUUAUGAUGUAACUCAGCAAAUAUCAUUUGUACAUAUAUAUUAGACCCCUCCAGCUACGUUGACGACGCAUGAACGAGAAGACGGGUUAGACUUUGUCGAAACCCUCUUCGCUAGUGGAGGUAUCGACCAUCACUCGUCACUGUAACCCGAUGGUGAUCAGCGACCGUGAGCUUCCAUGUUAUUGUGUUAUGAUACUUGAGACUUUUAUUAUGACUAUGUAUGAGAUAUUGUCUCUUAUUAGUACUAGGUGAGAUGUGUCUUAUUAUGACUAUGGAUGAGACUUUUGUGAUGUAAUUGAUGAGACUAUGGGUUUAAAUAUUGUUACAUGAUUGUGUGUGAUAUGUUUUAUGUGAAAAUAUGUUGUGCUUUAUAGCUGUUGAUAUAUUUGUUAUGUUGUGGAAUGUGGUGUAAAAUAAAAAAACAAUAUUUGUAAUGUUGGUCAAAUUAACUUCCUAGAGGCCAAUUGGGCCGUAGGAAGUUAGCCACCUAACUUCCUAGGGGCUACAGUCAACCAUAGGAAGUUAGCCAGCUAACUUCCUAGGGGCUACAGUCAGCCGUAGAAAGUUAGUCGUAGGAAGUUAGUCAGCUGACAGCGUGAAGCUACUAACUUCCGAGAGGCUUCUUUGGCUAUAGGAAGUUAGCUAACUUCCUAGAGGGCUCUAAGAAGUUAAGCUAACUUCCGACAAAAAAAUUUCGAGAUCCAAACUUCCGAUGGGAUGGCUUUACUUCUGAGAGUUUAGCUAACUUCCUAGAGUUUAGGGCUAACUUCCUAGGGUUUAGGCUCUAGGAAGUUCACUAUUUUGGUGUAGUGUUUCUAACCCAGAUGGUCAAUACCAGGAAGGGAGGCAGAAUCGAUCUACCUGCCAAUCCCCCAGAACCAGAGGAUUGUUAGACAACAGCAAGCAGAGAUGAAUCCUCCAAAUCCUCCAUCGGCUGGGACUGAACCAGUGGUUGCAGCCUAGAUGUAGAUGCUGCAACAAAUGGCCAUUACUAUGACGGAAAUAUAAGCUCAGAUGCAGCAGGAACGUCAAGAGAUGCGCCAGGAAAGGCAAGAGAUGAGGGAGGAAUUGUGUCAAGAGAGAAUGGUGCGACAGCAGCAAGCACCAAUACCUCCUCCACCACCACCAGUUCCACCUCGGGACAAGCACCGGGAGUUUAUGAGCCACAAGUCACCCACCUUCACCAGCUCUCUGGAUCCAUUACAUGCGGAUGAUUGGUUAAAGUCAGUGGAGAAGAUGUUAAAUAUUGCUCAAUGCUCUGACCGGAAGAAGGUGCUUUAUGCUUCUGGUCGUCUUACUGGACCUGCUGCUGAUUGGUGGGAUUCGUAUACUGCUGCCCAUGAUGCUGCCAACACUAUUACUUGGGCAGAAUUCACUACACAUUUUAGAAAUUACCACAUUCCUGCUGGACUGAUGAAGACUAAGAAGAAAGAAUUUCUGUCACUAAAAUAGGGCAAUAUGUCAGUCAGCGAAUACCGUGACAAAUUCAUUCAGCUUUCAUGGUAUGCUCCAAAUGAAGUUGCAAAUGAUGAGAGAAAACAUGAGCACUUUAUAGAGGGACUUAAUGGACCACUACAGUAUGCACUGGUUGCUCACACCUUUCCAUCAUUUCAGAGGCUUUUAGACAAAGCUCUAGCUAUUGAACACAAGCAUGUUUAACUGGGAGAAAUGAAGAGGAAGGCCAUUACCCAGGGGUAGGGCAGCAGCAGUAUUCGUCCUCGCUAUGUUCCACCCUAGGGUACACCAGCUCGUCCUAGAGGAGGACUAUGCCUAGCUCAGCACGCUCCACAAGGGACUCCAUAGACACCCCACACUCGUCAGGCUGCCCCCACUAGCAUCCCAGCAAGGUUUGCAUGACAGAGAACAGGCCCACAUGCUUCAAGUGCAGUCAGGUUGGGCACUAUGCAAAUGCUUGUCCGAUGGGGAAUUCUAGCACACCCACUCAGAACAAGCAACAGACUCCAACCUCUGGCAAGGGAUUCAGCAUUGCCAGGGUCAACCAAGUAAGUGUCGAGGCUACUGCUGAUGGAGCUGACAUCGCUAUCGGUAUGUUUUACAUUAAUUCAAUUCCAGCAGCCAUAUUAUUUGAUUAUGGAGUUACGCAUUCAUUUAUUUCUGCUCAUUAUGCCAUCACCAAUGAACUAGCACUUCAAACUAUGCAAAAACCACUGGUAGUAAUUACCCCUAAAGGGCCAUGUUGAAGCAAACUAUAUGACACACAGAUUAACACUGACAAUUAUGGGAAGGGAAUUCUGGUCUACACCUAUAGUAUUAGAGUAAAGAAGUAUAGAUUUGAUACUCGGGAUGUCCUGGUUAAGGAAAGCAAAGGCAGUUAUACACUUUGAUAAGGGAACCGUAGAACUCACCAGUUCCAAAUGAGAAAGGUUUGAAGUCGAGAUUACCAUAACCGCCUCUACCAGACCCGCCAUAUAUCUAGUAGAUGGAACAUUUGUGGGUAGAAACAUCUGUGUGGUUAGAGACUUUCCAGAUGUCUUUCCUGAAGAGUUACCCGGAAUGCUACCACAUAGGGAAGUUGAAUUUGUCAUUGACCUCUUACCUGGUACCGCUCCCAUUUCAAAAAGGCCAUAUAGGAUGUUAGUGGAAGAAUUAAAAGAACUUAAUAAAAAUUAACGAAGUUGCAAGAAGCAGGGUACAUUCGUCCGAGUUCCUCACCUUGGGGAGCACCGGUUCUGUUUGUACAGAAGAAGGAUGGUUCUCAAAGGAUGUGUGUGGAUUAUAGAUCAAUUAAUGAUGUCACCAUUAAGAACAAGUACCCUUUACCUCGUAUUGAAGAUUUAUUUGAUCAGAUGAGAGGUGCUAGGGUGUUCUCUAAGAUUGACCUUAGGUCGGGUUAUCACCAAAUGAAGAUUAGGCCAUCUGAUAUUCCCAAGAUGGUUUUCUCUACCCGAUAUGGUCUAUAUGAGUUCAUAGCCAUGUCGUUUGGCUUAACUAAUGCACCAGCCUACUUCAUGAAUCUAAUGAACAAGGUGUUGAUGGAGUAUCUUGAUAGAUUUGUCAUGGUAUUCAUCGACGACAUUCUCAUUUAUUCCAAGAAUGAUAGUGAUCAUGAGGAACAUCUGCGGGUGGUGCUACAUAAGCUACGGGAUAAUCAACUCUAUGCCAAAUUUAGCAUGUGUGAGUUCUGGCUUGAUGAAGUACCAUUCCUUGGGCACAUCAUCUCCAAAGGUGGAAUCUCAGUGGAUCCAACUAAAGUAAAGGACAUAGUGGGUUGGAAGAUACCAAAAACAGUCGCUGGGGUUCGGAGUUUCUUGGGACUCGUGGGUUAUUACCGAUGAUUAAUUAAAGGAUUUUCUAAGAUAGCGAAGCCUAUGACCUCAUUGUUAGAGAAGGGAAAGGAUUUUAAUUGGUCUUGGGAAUGCCAAGAGAGUUUCAAUCAAUUAAGGUUUAAGUUGAUGUCACCCCUAGUGUUGAUUAUGCUAGACCUACAUAAGGGAUUUGACAUAUAUUGUGAUGUGUGCCACCAGGGCUUGGGAUGUGUGCUUAUGCAAGAAGGACAUGUCAUCGCCUAUGCGUCUCGCCAGUUACGGAAACAUAAGUUGAACUACCACACUCAUGACUUAGAACUAGUAGCCGUAGUGCUUGCUCUCAAGAUUUGGAGGCAUUAUAUUAUGGGGACUAAGUGCCAAGUCUACACUGAUCACAAGAGCUUAAAAUAUAUCUUCACUCAGAAGGAUCUUAACCUUAGGCAACGCUGUUGGCUAGAGCUCAUCAAAGAUUAUGACUUGGAAAUUAAGUAUCAUCCGAGCAAGGCGAAUCUGGUUGCGGAUGCCUUGAGUCGAAAGGAGCAUGUCCAUGCAGCUAUUGUCUCCCAGUUACCCGAUGAAUUAGCAAAAGACUUUGAGAAACUCAAUCUGGGGAUAGUUGCUCAUACAGAAGGAAUUACCAUAGAAGUAGAACCUACCUUAGAACAAGAAAUAUGAAAGGGUCAGAUCGGCGAUGUCAAAAUUCAAGAGAUCAAAGAUCUGAUAACAGAAGGUAGAGGCCCAGACUUCACAGAAUAUGAACAGGGCACGAUAUGGUUCAAGAACCGGAUUUGAGUUCCUGAGAUCGACAGUCUUUGUGAAACCAUACUGAAGAAAGCACAUGACUCAGCUUACUCCAUCCAUCCGGGCAGUACCAAGAUGUACCAGAACUUGAAGCAGAAGUAUUAGUGGUAUGGACUAAAGAAGGAUGUUGCUUCACAUGUAGCACUAUCUGAUGUUUGCCAGAGGGUGAAAGCUGAACAUCAAAGGCCUACCAAUUUGCUGCACCCGCUUAAGAUACUUGAGUGGAAGUGGGAAGAGAUUGGAAUGGACUUCAUUGUGGGUCUACCCCGCACAUCUACUGGGUAUGACUCUAUAUGGGUGAUUGUGGACAGGCUAACUAAAGUAGCCCACUUUAUCCGAGUGAAGACCACAUAUUCAGGAGCCAGGCUAGCAGAGUUGUACAUGGCACGAAUAGUUUGUCUACAUAGAGUGCCAACGAAGAUCGUAUCAGACCGGGGACCACAAUUUACUUCUCAGUUUUGGCAGAAGUUGCACAAGUGCUUGGACACACAGUUGAAUUCAGCUCGGCCUACCAUCCUCAAACUGAUGGGCAGACCGAGAGAAUCAACCAAGUAUUGGAGGAUAUGUUAAGAGCUUGCGCUCUUAAACAUGGUGGCAGUUGGGAUAAUAGUUUACCAUAUGCGGAGUUCUCUUACAAUAAUAGCUACCAGGCCAGUUUGAAAAUGUCUCUAUUUGAAGCUCUAUAGGGCAGAAAAUGCAAGACUCCUCUAUAUUGGGAUCAAACUGGUGAAAGGCAGUUCUUUGGGCUAGAAAUUAUACAAGAGGCAGAAGAACAAGUACGAUUGAUAAGAGAGAACUUGAGAACUGCGCAGUCAAGACAGAAAAGCUAUGCAGAUACCCGGAGAAGACUGCUAGAGUUUAAGUAGGGUGAUCACGUGUAUCUAAAGGUGUCACCAAUCUAGGGUAUGAGGAGAUUUAAAGUCAAAGGGAAGUUCUCCCCUUGCUUUAUUGGACCAUUUUGAUCCUAAAGCGAGUGGGGGAAGUUGCCUAUCAACUGGAACUACUUGACCACCUUGCGGAUGUACAUGGUGUCUUCCAUGUGUCUCAAUUGAAGAAGUGUCUCAGGGUACCCGAAGAGCAGCUACCUAUGGAGGAUCUUAGUGUUCAAGAUGAUCUGACUUAUACUGAGUAUCAUAUCAAGAUCCUUGAUACAUUGACUCGUUUCACGAGGAGUAAGGUGAUAAAAAUGUCCAAAGUGCAAUGGAGUCAUCAUGGAUAAGAUGAAGCUACCUGGGAAAGAGAAGAAGAGCUACGAGUAGAUUUUCCCCACCUCUUCCAUAGUCCUUCCUAAUCUCGAGGAAGAGAUUCUUUUUAAGGGGGGUAGGAUUUGUAAUACCCAGUUUGAAUAUAAUAGGAAAAGAGUUGAUGUCAGUAUAUGAUUUGUCAGCUACAUAAAAGAACCUGGGAAUAACCAUAUUUAAGUGAACAAUUACCUAAUAAAAUACUCUAUGCAUCAUGUUGGAGUUUUGUUUGUUUGUGCAUUUAAUAAUAGUAACAAUAAUAUUAAUAAAAAUAUAAUAAUGAUUUGAGAUGUGGAUUGAACCCCAAAUUGAAAUUAGGGUUCGAAAAUAGAGAAGGAAAGAGUGAAAUGCUAUACAAUACAAAAUAAAUUUAUAAAUAAAUGACUUCAUCACAUUUUGGUAUGAUCAAAUUAAACAUUUAGUCUAAGUACAAAUUUGCCAUAAAAUUUGAAAUUUAAAUCUGAAUUGGAGUUUUGAAUUAGGGAAGAAAGAAAAGAAAAUAGAAAAAAAAUAAGAAAUUAAAGAAAAAGAGAAAAACUGAUUCGGCCCAAUGCUCUUUUCUUCCCCGCGCUGCCCAAACUCCACAAUUUCUACGCAUCAAUCAACACGAAAGUCAACUUCGCAUUCGUUUACCACCCCUAGUCUAACAGAGCCGUUGAAAUAGCGAACGACAAAAUAUUCAUGGCAAUCAAGAAGAGACUGCUAGAUGACACGAAGGGGAAAUAGCUCGAUUAGUUGCCCGAGGUCAUGUGGGGGCCUGAACACAACAGAAACAAGAUGCGCAUGUUUCACACCAUUCAAAUUGAUGUACGACGCCAAGGCGAUGACACCUUAAGAGCUAAAGUUUAAGUCCCCCAGGGUAGAGGAGCAUUCCAUUCUAAAGGCAGAUGAGACAGCAACAAAAGACCUACUCGAAGUCUACAUGGUCGAUGCCCUCGACACAAUCACCAAGUAUCAGGAGGCGACACAAACAUGGAGAGACAAGCCCAUCAAAGCCAAGGAAUUUGACGAAGGCGACUUGGUCCUCUUGCAAACACGGAGGACUCAGUGAAAAGGAAAACUCGAGCCCAAAUGGGAGGGGCAUUACAUCGUCACUAAGAAGAUUUCGCCAUAUGCCUAUAGGCUAACUAGCCAAACCGGCGUAUAGCUGGAGCAUGGGUAACUUACACAAAUUUUAUGUAUAAAAAUGACUUAAGUUGAAAGGGCCCUCAAAGAUGCCCAUGUAAUUUUCAAAAACUUUGAACAACAUUCGGGCCCAUACUCUUUUCCUCACGAAGGGGUGAGGUUUUUAAUGAGGCGGAGCCUUGUAAUAAAGCAACAAAAAUCCCCCUAUGCAAGUCCCACGGUCGAAACAGCUCACUCGAGGUGAACAUUCGACCAUAAAGACAGUCACCGUCGCAGCGAGUAAAACCUCGCUAAUGGCGUGCGACAACGAAGACACCUAAGGGUGCAAAGACGCCUAAAGGUGUAGCCAGAUGAAAACAAAAUCCUGGUGAAAGACACAUAAGGGUGCAAAGACGUCUAAGGGCAUAACUAGAUUAAAACAAAAUAUUGGCGAAAGACACCUAAAGGGCAAAAAUGCCUAAGGGCAUAGUGUUGAUCCUUGUUCUCAAAUGCUUCAAGAACAAGACAACAUAAUUGUUAAUGAUUAAAGGCCUUCGUCCUUUGAAGCAUUAUCUCCUUUUGGAUAUAAUGAUCUUCAGACGAAGGUCAUGAAGGGCAUACCUUCAUCAUCUCAGUGAACAAAUAUAAAUAAGGAUAUAUAAAAUACAAAAGAAUAUAAAUAAUGAUCAUAUAACAGCAAUCUAUUUAUAUUCUUCUUUUAUAGACAUGGAAAAAGCAUUAACAAUAUUUAAAUUACAUUGAUACCUUCGGCUUGCCAGAAGGUGAAGAUGUGAAAAUGAUGUAAGAGUGAUUACCAUCCAACAUGAACAGUACGAGGGUACUGUUCAUCUAUUUAUAGGUACUGGAUACAACCUGAACAAAAUUACAUUCAUGUCCCUAACAUUUAAUUGUAAUUAUAAUACAAACUACUAAGGACUAGAUAGACUUUUCCUCCUUAAGUUGGUAUCAUCCUUCGUCUUCGUCGCAAUACUAAGCCGAAGCUCCUUCAGUCAUAGCUUUGGCUUCUAUCAACAUCAUCUUCGGGUUGUAUCUUCAUGUUGCACCUGCCUUCGUAUUGUCUUGCCGAAGGUGUUUUUGCCUUGAGAACCUUCGAUGGAGAAGAAGACCCCUAACAGUAGCCCCUUCGCGGUGCUAGAUCGUUUUUCAUAACGAGCUCGGUCUGCAAAAACACGAAGGCUUCGGAAUGUAGAAGGUCCGAAAAACACCUUCCCUGAGCUCAUUGCUGAGAAAUGAUUAUAAUAUUCCGGACACCGUGAGCGGUAUGGCGGUUCGCCUUUUCCCCUACAACACUAUAUAAACAGACGGGUUGGUGAGGAGUUACCACAUCAUUCAUUGUCAUCGCACUGUUGUGCUGUUAAAAAUUUUAACCAUAGCCGAAGCUUUCUGUACUGCUUUUUCGAUCAAGUGCUUCGUCAUUUGAAAUCAGUUUCGUCUUAAGGAAGCGUAAACAUUGAAAUGGCCAAAGUAUGAUCCAGUGCUAGGGUGUCUCAUGAGGGUGAUGAGGCCGAAGUGACCGAAACAACGCCAAUAUCAGAAGUGAUGAGGCGAUCGGGUCUUGUUGUGCCAGAGGGGCUGUUGCCGAAGGUACUUCUGUUGCCGAAGCUAAACAGAUCGUAGCUGAAGGAGGAAGUGAGAACGAAUAUGAAGAUGAUAACACUAUUUUGAAUCCAACGAAACCCAACCAUAUUGAAUUUGGUAAAUCUACUGUGACAACAAAUGACAUGGUUAUGAUGAAGAAAUUGGGCUACUUUGGGGAGGCCGAGAGCAAGCUUGUCCAGUUUGCCGGGGAAGAGGUGAUUCUAGAGCCAAAAGAUGAUGAAGUCGUAGUCUUUAAGAGCUUCUUCAGGGCAGGACUUCGCUUCCCCCUACAUGAGAUGAUUGGAGAGGUAUUAAAAAAUUUUGAGAUAUACUUUCAUCAGCUGACACCCAAUGCAAUCGUUAGACUUAGUGUCUAUAUAUGGGCUCUCCGAAGCCAGGGUAUGAGUCCCAAUGCCGAAGCUUUCUGCCGGGUGCACGAGCUGCACUAUCAAACGAAGACCAGAGCAGAUGGUCUUCAUAAGAACUUUGGCUGCUACAACUUUGCGUAUCGUAAGGAUACGAAGGCCCUAGUUCUCGGCUACCGUACGAAGUGGCCGACCGGUUAGACAAGCGAGUGGUUUUACAUAAAGGCAGACAAGAAGAGAAGAGAGAAGCUAAUGACUAUGGUAAUGAGUCCAUUGAGAUUGAGCUUCGGGAUGACAAGGCCCUUGUGCCACAUGCAGCUUGGCUCCCCAUGCCAGGUAGCCGAAGUAGAGUUUAGAGUGGUAGCAGCAGAAAUCAGCACUAGAGAUCUAGUGCAAGAGUACUUGGCAAAUAGAAUAUUUGUGACCUCUAGUGGCUGGGGAAUGCCUAAGAAAAAGGAGGGGGCAAAAAGUACAAACUUGUUCGGCUUCCUUACCGAUUUAAAUUUGAGAAACAAUUCAAGAAGCCAUGCAAAGAGUGUCUAGAAAUGAUCGAGACAAUGUGCAAUGAAUUCUUGGCAACUACACCAAGAAAGAGGACCAAUUAAUGACUGCAGCCUUCGGCACCCGGCCAAAACGAAGGCUGAAUCGGGUGAUGGACGCGUUAAACUUCGAAUACCCAGACUACGAAAGACUUGAAAAAGGGGCCGAAGGGGUGAAAAGGAAAAGGGUUGUUAGCAUCCUGAGUCGGCAAGCUACUCGGCUAGUGAAGGAAGAUCAAAAAGUUUUGAAGAAGAUAAAAACAUCUCCUAAGCCGAAGGCAACAAUCUCUAAAAGCAAAAACUUGACACAGCGCCCUCUGCUGAGCCGAAGGUGGACGAAUCAGGAGAAGAAGCUCCUUUAACGCCCUCUGCUGCCGAAGUAGCAGAAAUUUUGAAGGUAAUGACUGAUUCUCCACACUUCAAGCUGCUAAGUCCUCUGGGACCAGAACUGACGAAAUUUUUACUGAAGGAACAACCUUCGGCUGGGGAGGAGAAGAUUAAAGGGCAAAAGAAACGAAGAAUUGUAAAUGUGAUGCAAGUCGUUGAGCAAACACCACCUUCGGCUUCGGCGGCAAAAGUAGCAAUUCCUGAAGAUGCCGAAGAUGCUCACAAAGCCGAAGCUGAGAACUCGCAACCACAAUGUCGGAAAUCGACAGGCUUAUAUCAGGUGUGGUUGCGGAGGAGAUAGGUGUGGCUGUGAAAGAAAGCAUGGCUACAAUGCCUAAUAAAGGGAAGAAAGUUAUUGAUACUCCUCUAAGAGAGAAAGAUUUUGACCUUUGGCACCUAGGUGGCCAUGAACUGUCCAAGGAAGACAAGGAAGAGUAGAAAGAAUAUGCAAUAUCUUGCGGUUAUCAGCCGGGAUCUUUGCUCUUUGGCGGGGUUGAUGAAGAAAUUCUAGGAUGUAUGCGCGACCGCGCCGGGGCAAAGAUAAUUGGCACCCUUUCUAAAGUGUCGGUUUUCCGAAGCUGGAGACCGACAUCAGUGGUUACCGAUGACAACAUAUUGUCGGUAGCCUAUUUUAUUCCAAUUUCAAGGUGAAAUCUUUGUCUAGGUCUUUGUUACCUUCGUGAUGGAUUAAGACGUUCUAACUUUAACUUGUUUUUGCAGAGUAUGUUGCUAAGCAAAGCGAUGAAAAUGCAGCAGGAUAACAAAGAUAAGAAAAACGAGAUUAUAAUUGACGGCUUGGAGAAUAAGAUAAAGAAUCUUGAAGCUUCUGUGGAGGAGAAAGAUUUUCUGCUGCGAGCAGCCGAAGGUUCCCUUGCGGAAGUAUAGUCUCAAAAUAUUAAAUUAAGCGAGGAACUUGACAAUGCUCAAACAAUUUUAAAGAAAGAAUUAGAGCGCUUCAAGCAGGAAACAAAAGAACUGCAAGCAAAAGUUGAAGCCGAAGCUAAGAAAAAUACGAAGCUGUGGGAGUCAUUGAUAGACCUUCGGAAUAAGUGCACGGACUUCGCCACCCGCUGUGCGAACUGACUAAAAGGAAUAUUCAACUCGGUUGGGGCUAGUUCUGAAGAGAUUGUUCCUUCGGCUGAAGAUAUACCCAAAGCCUUCGAGCAUAUUGAAAAUGAAGUUGAAGCACUCGAUGAAGUUAUAACUGGGCACGGGGAUUUCUGUGCUCUGUUAGCUUCUCAUGGCACAACUGCUGUAUUUUUGAAGGCCGGAUGUACUCAUGCCAAAACAGUUAACAAGCCAACCUUCGGCCUCUCAUCAUCAGACUUAGUUGAUAUUCCUGGUGAAGCUCGAAGCAUUGGAAACAGAUUUAUCACUCAAAUUUGGUCUAAGGGCGGGCACGAGCUGGCUGGCGACGAAGCUCGGAAACUGCUCGAUUCAGUAUGAAACUUUUACCUGUCUUUUACCUUGGUUUUUCUUUAUUAUAUUUGCGAUUACCUUAUACCGUCAUCUGUCUGCAGGAUGGUGGCGCCGAAGGUCACUGAGCCGAAGCUUAUUCCGAAGGGCUGAAGACUCUUAGAGCUUCUUUUUGUAAUUACCUUUCGAAAACUUGGGAUCUCUUUGUAUUAUUUGGCAAAAGAUUGUAAUUGAGAGUUGAACACAACAUUGUACAUAUUUGUCCAUACCUUGUAAUAUAAUUUUACCUCUUCGUCCAUGUGUGAAUUGCUUUGCUGUGGACGAAACCCACACUUACAAUUUUUUAGCCGAAAGUGAAAAACACCUUCCCUUCUUUUCGCUCACAACAAAGCAUUUUUCAUUGUAAACAGAGUGCCUUCAUAAACGUCUCAUCUGAGAUGAAGUGUCUUUGUAUUCAACGAAGCAUUUUAUCUCCAAAGACAAUCAUCUUUUUUCUUUCCUUUUAAAGUCUGUGCUUCAUGUCAUGAUAAUGAUGAUCCUACGAAUGUCUAAUGAAUGUUUGUAUGAAUGAAAAGAAUGAUGUGAUGGAAUAUGCAAAUGUAUGACCCGAACACACACGAAACCACAUCCAGACUCUACAUCCCCUUAGGAAUGACUUUUGAGUCUCUUCACCUUCUAUUUUAGUGGCAUUUAAGCUCUGCAUCCCCUUAGAACGACUUUUGAGCUUCUUCACCUUCUAUUUCUGUGGUAUUUAAGCUCUGCAUCCCCUUAGGAACGACUUUUGAGCUUCUUCACCUUUUAUUUCGGUGGCAUUUUGCCUCUGCAUUCCCUUAGGAACGACUUUUGACCUUCGGAACUUACUCUAUGCUCCCUUGGGAACGACUUUUUGUAGCUUCGUCACCCUCCAGGUGACCCUUUAGCUCUGCAUCACCUUAGGGACGACUUUUGAGCUUCUCCCUGUUCUUUUUGCACUCAAGUGCGAAUUCUGAUGUUACAUGUUACAUUCUUGGGGCAAUUUGGCCCUUGUAUUGCAUAGGGCUAAACAAAAAAUGAAAAUUACAACCUAUGGCCCCAUUAAAAACCUUUCUCCCCUCCUAAAAGGAAAAGGAUGCCAAAGGGAAAAAUAAGAAAAUUACAUCAAUUACACAUAAUAUCGCCGAAGCUCAUCCGCAUUCUAAGACCUGGGUAUGUCGUUGUUGUCCAUAUCCUUCAGUCUGUAAGAACCGGGUCUUGACGAAGAUACGAUCAAAAAAGGGCCUUGCCAUUUUAGCUGAAGCUUCCCCACUGUAUCAGGUUAGCUAUCCUUCGAAGCACCAAAUGACCUGGCCUGAUAUUUUUCAAUCGAACUUUUCUGUCACACCAUUUUAUUGUUUCGGCUUGGUAUUUAUUGAUGUGCUCUAUGGCCUGAAGUCUGGUCCCUUCUAUGAUGUCUUUUGUUACUUGGCAAUUGGCUUCGUCCUCCGUCGAAGCUAAGGUUCUUAUUGAACCCAUUCUUGCUUCUUUCGGUGUUAUUGCUUCGUUGCCGAAUAGAAUCUUGAAUGGAGUAAAUCCUGUUGACCUUGAUGCAGUGGUGUUAUGUCUCCAAACCACUUUUAUUAAUUCAUCUGGCCACUUCCCUUUCGAUUGAUUGAAGAUUGACUUCAUUAUUCCUGUUAUUAUGAUUUCAUUUGCCCUUUCUACCAACCCAUUUGACUCCAGGUGCCUCACUAAUGCAAAGUGUAUUUUUGUGCCAAUUUGGCUACAAAAAGUUUUGAAAGUUUCAGCAUCAAAUUGAGUUCCGUUAUCAAUGGUGAUAGCAUUUGGUAUGCCAAAGCGACAAACUAUAUUUUGCUAGAAGAAUUUUUGCACUGUGGCUGAAGUUAUUGUAGCCAAAGGCUUUGCUACAAUCCACUUAGAAAAGUAUUCCACUGCCACCAUGACAUAUUUCAGGUUGCCUUGUGCUGGUGGUAGUGGCCCUAACAAAUCCAAACCCCAUCUUUGCAAUGGCCAUGUUGGUUGUAUUAAUUGAGUUAAAGACGAAGGUUGUUUCUGGUCUCUGGUGCAUCUUUGGCAAUUUUCACAUUUCUGAACUAAUUCUGCCGCAUCUGAAGCUGCCUUCGGCCAAUAAAAACCUUGUAUGAAAACCUUUCCUAGUAGCGGUCUAGACCCAAUGUGAGCUCCACAUAAACCUGCAUGUAUCUCCUUCAUCAAUUCUUGUCCUUCGGCUCUAGACAAGCAUUUGAGUAAUGGAGAGCAAACUCCAUGUUUGUAUAACUCCCCUUCUAUUAUUACAUAAGGUCUUGUUCUUGCUUCCAUUCUCUUGUUAUAAGCUUCAUCAUCUGAAAGACAGUUGCCCUGGAGAAAGGAUACAAUUUCGGUCCACCAAUCUUCACUAUGUAUUGGUGAAAUUGUGAGCACUGCUCUUUCCAUGAGCUCAACUGAAGGUGCUUUUAUUGUUUCAAAAAAUACUUCCAAAGGCAAAGGGAGCCCCUGUGCCGCUGACUUAACUAAUAAGUCUGCAUGCUCAUUCUCUCCCCUUGGGAUAUUUUUUACAAAAAAACCUUCAAAAGAAGCUUCCAACCUUCGGACUGCAUCUAAAUACUUUUCAAGCUUUGGGUCUCGUGCCUUACUGCUUUUAUCCACAUGGCUCGAGAUAACUUGUGAAUCAGUCUUGAGGAUUGCCCUUCUUAUCCCCAGCGCCUUUAGUUUCUGAAGCCCCAAAAGAAGAGCUUCGUACUCGGCAAUGUUAUUUGUACAGCUGAAGUCUAAUUUUAUUGCAUAACAUGUUUUGACUUUAGAAGGUGCAACUAGAACAGCAGCUGCCCCUGCAUCAAAGGUCCCCCAAGAUCCAUCGCAAAAUACCGUCCAAGCUUCGGCAUCUUUUGUUGCUUCUUCAUCCUGAGCCCGUGGCGUCCAAUCAGCAAUGAAGCCUCCAAACGCCUGAGAUUGUAUUGAGGAUAUGUGCACGUAAUCAAUGGUGAAUUCGUUACGUUCCGCGGCCCAUUUUCUGAUCCUUCAUGUAGCUUCUCUGUUCCUCAUUAUGUCCUUCAAGUGUUGCGAUGAAGGCACUAUUAUGUGAUAUGCUUGAAAAUAAUGCCGAAGCUUCCUGGAGGCCAUCAAUACAACAUACAGUACCUUCUCCAAAUAUGUGUAAUUUUUCUUUGAAGGGCUGAGUACUUCGGAAUCAUAGUAUACUGGUGCUUGCUUUUUUACCUAGCCCUCUUGUUUUUCUUGUACAAGUGCUGCACUAACCACGGUAUGGGAAGUAGCCACAUAUAGAAGUAACGGAGCUCCUGAUGAAGGUGGGGUUAGAGUUGUUAGAUCUAUCAAAUACUGCUUCAGCUCUUCGAAGGCUCUCUGCUGAGCUGGACCCCAUUGGAAGACUUCGGUUGAUUUCAAUAUUUGAAAUAAAGGUAAAUUCCUCUCUACUAUCUUGAAAUGAAUCUGUUUAACGAUGCCAGCCUUCCUGCUAACCGUUGAGCCCUCUUUUUGAAUUUGGUGGUUCCAUCCGAAGGAUAGCUUCGAUCUUGCUUGGGUUAGCUUCGAUUCCCUUUGUCGAUACCAGACAACCAAGAAACUUGGCCUUCUUCACUUCGAAGACACAUUUUGUGGAUUUAACUUGAGACCAGCUUGUCUGAAGUUGGCAAAUAUCUCUUGCAAAUCAGCAACAUAGUUUUCUUGCUUUGUGCUUUUUACUAUAAUAUCAUCAACAUAUGUCAGCAGAUUCCUGCCAAUUUGGGAGUGAAGAACCUUGGUAGUCAUUCUGCUGAAGCUUCCUCUAGCAUUUUUGAGCCCCUCAGGCAUCCAAAGGUAACAAUAAGUACCACUAGGAGUUAUGAAGCUUGUCUUCGGCUCAUCCUCCUUCAUCCAGAUUGAUGAUAACCCGAGUAGCAGUCCAGUAAACACAUGAGUUCUGAAGAAGUUGUUGCAUCCAUAAGGGAAUCUAUUCUUGGUAGUGGGAAUUCAUCCUUCGGACAUGCCUUGUUGAGAUCUAUGAAGUCAAUACACAUUCUCCAUUUUCCAUUAGCUUUCUUUACCAUGACAGUGUUGGUCAGCCACUCUGGUUAUGUCACUUCUCUGAUGACGCCGGCACUUAGAAGUCUUUUCACUUCAUUUCGUGCACCUUCGGCUUUAUCAUCGGACAUCUUCUGAAGCCUCUGUUUUCUUGGUCUGAAGGACGGGUCCACAUUGAGUGAGUGCUCAAUAACAUCUCUGAUGACACCACAGAUAUCAUUGGCUAUCCAAGCAAAAACAUCUUUGUUGUUAAACAAAAAUCUUAAUAGAGUCUUUUCUUGUUCAUCAGAUAAUUGAGAUCCCAGCAAUACUUUUUGCUCUGCUAUGUUUUCACACAAAAGCAUAGGCUUCAGUUGAUUUGCUGAAGCAACCUUCUCUCUUUUAUGCUUAUACUACUGAUAAGCUUCAGCUUCAUCUAUAUUAUGAAUGUCCUUCGAAUCCAUCCAACUCCCUUUAGCUCUCCUGGCAGCUUCUUGACUUUCGUGUACCACAAUAGGCCCUUGUUCCGAAGGUAUCUUCAUGCAAAGAUAUGUUGGAUGAAGUAUUGCUUCAAAGGCAAUAAGCGUCCCCCGACCAAUGAUUGCAUUGUAUGGGUACUCCAUAUCAACAAUGUCAAAGACAACCUGUUCUGUUCUUGUGUUGUGAACAUAGCCGAAGGUAACCUGCAUUGUUAUCUUGCCAAGUGCCACAAUCUGUCUUCCUCCAAAGCCACAAAGAGGAUGUGUUGCAUUAUGUAUCUUGUCCUCUAGCUCUUGCAUUUGCAUAAAAGCCCUUGCAAAGAUGAUAUCCCCUGCACUACCUGUGUUCACCAGGACAUUGUGGACCAAAAAUCCCUUGAUGACACAAGAUAUAACCAUUGCAUUAUGGUGAGGAUAAUCCUCAAGCUGAAGGUCUUCCUGAGAGAAGGUAAUUGGAAUAUGAGACCACUUGGACUUGAUGAAGGGCCCCUGCACCCCAACAUGUUGUACCCUUCUCUGUGCUUCUUUCUUCUACCUCUUGUUGGCUGGCUCAGAACUUGAGCCACCUAUGAUUGGGAGCACCGGCUUCGUAACCAAAGGUGCCACAACUUGUUUGCCUUGCGAAGUCAUCGUCAAAGUUGUGCAAGUGAGUUCACCGGAGGUGGGCGCCAAUGUUGAUCCUUGUUCUCAAAUGCUUCAAGAACAAGAUAACACAAUUGUUAACGAUUAAAGGCCUUCGUCCUUCGAAGCAUUAUCUUCUUUUGGAUAUAAUGAUCUUCAUACGAAGGUCAUGAAGGGCGUACCUUCAUCAUCUCAGUGAACAAAUAUAAAUAAGGAUAUAUGAAAUACAAAAGAAUAUAAAUAAUGAUCAUAACAGCAAUCUAUUUAUAUUCUUCUUUUAUAGACAUGGAAAAAGCAUUAACAAUAUUUAUAUUACAUUGAUACCUUCGGCUUGCCAGAAGGUGAAGAUGUGAAAAUGAUGUAACAGUGAUUGUCAUCCAGCGUGAACAGUACGGGGGUACUAUUCAUCUAUUUAUAGGUACAGGAUACAGCCCGAACAAAAUUACAUUCAUGUCCCUAACAUUUAAUUGUAAUUAUAAUACAAACUACUAAGGACUAGAUAGACUUUUCCUCCUUAAGUCGGUAUCAUCCUUCGUCUUCGUCGCAAUACUAAGCCGAAGCUCCUUCAAUCAUAGCUUCGGCUUCUAUCAACAUCAUCUUCAGGUUGUAUCUUCAUGUUGCACCUGCCUUCGUAUUGUCUUGCCGAAGGUGUUUUUGCCUUGAGGACCUUCAGCGGAGAAGAAGACCCCCAACACAUAGCAAGAUUAAAACAAAAUCUUGGCGAAGACACCUAAGGGCACAACUAGAUUAAAACAAAAUCUUGGCGAAGACACCUAAGGGUACAAAGAUGCAUAAGGGCGUAGCCAGAUUAAAAUAAAAUUUUGGCGAAGACACCUAUGUGUGCAAAAAUGCCUAAAGGCGCAACUAGAUUAAAACAAAAUCUUUGCGAAGACACCUAAAGGUGCAAAGGCGCCUAAGGACAUAGCUAGAUUAAAACAAAAUCUUGGCACACACCUAACGAUGUGAAGAUAUCGCACUUAAAUGCAAGGACCUCGCAUUUGUCCCACAUCGACAAAGGUGAGAGGGCAGCGUUCCGCGUUUAAUUUGCUGGUCAAGGACAACUACCACGCGUCAACCAAAACAGUACACAUGAUAACAACAACAUAAAAAGCCAAGGUCUACAUUAAAAUAGCCAGAUGAAGUUCUCAUCACAAGUUUGCAAGCCAAACAAGUACAAUCAAGGACUAGCGGGCUCCUCCUUCAUAAUAAGUUCGUGCUCCCUACAAUUAAACAACAUAAUCUCAAGCUCCCUAGCCUCGCCAAAUAGACCAUGAUUAGACUUGCUAAUGCGAUUGAGGGCAGAGACUCCGCUCAAAACCCUAGCCAAGACAACAUGAUGGGGGCCAAGAUUUAGCUCGCCGACCUCGCGUCACCAAUACAUAAGGCGCCAUCCAAAUUGGGUCCAUCCAACUUAAAACGUUUUUGGCGCCAGUCGCCACCUCAUUCAUGUGAUGUCCCCUUCCGCUUUCGUGUGCCAACAUGUGUUGGUUGGCCCCUACCCCAUGUCAUGCCGCUCACUCCUAAAGGCCCCCUGGCUACUCCGGAAGCGGCCGAGUCCACGACAUCCAUCGCGACAAAAAAGUACAAGUCCUUUCUCGAGGACUUGUCAUCCAUCUAUACAAAGAACUCUAGUCGUCCUCAUCGCCCGACGACUCCAAGUCAAAAAUAUCACCUACACUACCGGAGUCUGAAGCACUUCUCUUGGCCAAAGGUGUACACAUACAACGUUGUCCAAGGGAUCCUACUCCUUUAUUAGAGGAACGACAAAAUCACUCUACUCAGGCCCCCAAAAAGGAACCUACGCAAAAGCAUUGUUGUCGAUCUUCUUCUAUGGCUCUAAGAGGCGAAGCAUAUUUUCUUUGGAUUUUUCUACUUAUUCAUGGAUGGCAUUUAGGUUGUGUAUCUCUUGGCCAAGUGCUUCAUAUUGUCAUGUCGGGCUAACUUCCUUCCUCUUUUGGCUACGCGCUUCUCGAAUUGCCUCUUCUCCUUGAUUAGUGUCCAAUGGUGCGAGGAUGGAGCCAAUUGCUGCUGACUUCUUCGGCGCCAUGAUGAAGCUUGACGUGGUCGUGGAAGUGAGUUCACUAGAGGUGGGCACCAAUGUUGGUCACCUACUUUUGAUUACUAUAUGGUAUCAAAAACAAGGCAACACAAGUUAGAGGAUUGAAACCUUCUCGCUUCAAUUAUCUUUUCUUCGAAGGGAUAACUUAAGGGAGAAGAUGAGAAUAAAGAAUGUGGAUGAAGUAGAAAUGCAUAGGAGUGUAAUGAAGAAUGAAGUGUGUUACUCAUCUCAUAUGUCUUUUUAGCACUUCUCAUUCCAUCUUUCUUCUUAUAAAAAAUGUAAAAGUGUACCUUCGACUUUACACGAGAGAUAGCUCGAAGGUAUUAUAAGUCCAAGUUAGACGAAGCUUCGGGUCUUCCACUCCUAAAAAAUUUGAGUUAUGCAUGGCAUUGUUCCUCUAUUUAUAGAGGAGAGAUACAACUCUGAUGAAUUUACAUUUCACACCCACAAGCCUAUACAUUUGAGCUAUUCUGCACAACGAGGGUGAAGUUGUCUUUUUCUUUCAUCACUCUUGUGAGAACUUCGGCUCCAUCAUUGUUGGUCACUUGUUCUCAAAUGUUGUGGACCAAGAACAAGGCAACACAAUUGUUAAUUAUUGCGGACCUUCGUCUUCGGAAGCAUUAUCUCCACAUUAGUAUAAUGCUCAUCAGACGAAGAUCAAGAAGGACAUACCUUCAUCAUUUAAUAUGUGAAUAAGAAUGCAAAAGGAUGAAGAUAGUAACCACAUCUCGUUAAUUCAUUUAUAUUUGCAUUCUAUAAAAACAUGUUUGAAUAUUAAUAGAAUUCAUAUUACAUUGAUACAUUCGGCUUGUUCGAAGGUGAAGACGUGAGAGAGUGAUUACAAUCCAGCGUGAACACUACGGUGCUACUGUUCAUCUAUUUAUAGGUACGGGACGUAGCCCAGGGGAAAUUACAUUCAUGACCUAUCGGUGUUUAGUGCCCGACCACACACCUAGGGUUACCCCUCACGGUGCUUUUGGGUAGGACGGUGCUAUCGACUGUAGCUUAAUGGUUCGUGCUGGGUGCACGAGAGAUGGACAUGCAAUUUUCUAUAGGUUCGGGCCACUUGGAGAGGUGUAACACCCUACUUCCUGGUGUGGAUCUUUAUGUGGUGGGUUACAAAUGGAGUCUCCUGGAUGGAGAACGGCUAAUGAGAUAAGUAGAUGGUCGAUGGAAAUCAUGGGGUACCCCCUAGGCCUUAUAUACUCGACCGUGGGGCACUACAUGCGUACGUGAAGAUUAUGUGUAUCCUAAAUAAUAGUGAACUGACUGAACUGAUCUUCCUAUAUUCUUGCCGACUUAUCCCUAAUCCGCCCCGAUAUUCAAGGGCGCCGUGCACGGGAAAGUCGGGUGGUUGCUGUGGAUAGUGCAUAAGCUGACGGGCCGCCCCGCCCUAAGUCAGCUUCCUCCUCAGGUUGGCCCAUUCCGCCAGUAGUUCUAGCCCGAUCCGCAAAGGGAAAACCUUGCGAGGCAACUAGCCUAAGGCCCCGCGUGAGGCCUUUUAGCCUUCUAGUGGACCCGGGGGAUAUCUGUCCCCCACAAGCCCCCGAGUUUUGAGUGGAUUUUGGAAAAUAAUCCAUCCAAAGGUCUUCAUCUUAUGCUUUAGAAAUCAGCAUUUUGCCUUCAUGGGACUAAAAAUCCAUUAGGUGGUGUAGCCCCCGAGCUUUGAGUGGAUUUUGGAAAUAAUCCAUUCAAAGGUCGUCAUCUUAUGCUUUAGAAUUCAGCAUUUUGCCUUCAUGGGACUAAAAAUCCAUUGGGUGCACCGAAGGCGCACCCAAUGGGUGUAGCCCCCGAGCUUUGAGUGGAUUUUGGAAAUAAUCCAUUCAAAGGUCUUCAUCUUAUGCUUUAGAAAUCAACAUUUUGCCUUCAUGGGACUAAAAAUUCAUUGGGCGCACCGAAUGUGCACCCAAUGGGUGUAGCCUCUGAGCUUUGAGUGGAUUUUGGAAAUAAUCCAUUCAAAGGUCUUCAUUUUAUGCUCUGGGAAUUCAAACGAUGCUAUCUGUCCAUGCCUUGUUGGGUCUAAAAUUAAUUUGAUCAAUGACAGAUUGGACGUCUGUCCAGCCGAGGCAGAUGGUUCUCAGCUGGACAUCACUCUGCUCUGUGUUUCAAUGCUUCUGUUGAUUGGACUUGCACUCCAGUAUCCACAUUUGGACUUCCUUCCAUUGUAGCCGAUCUCCUCUUUUGUCGUGGUACAUUCAUUGCAUAUAUUUUGUGGAUAUGACUUCUUCAAAAAAUCUUUGAAAAUUCCUGGCGACACACCCAAUGGGGGUGCCCAAGGGGUGUCUUGGUACGUAGAGUGUUUUACCACACUGUCCUGGAGUAGUAACAUGAUGUGAUCAUGGGGCGUAAUCAUAUUGCCUGAGUAGUUGACCUUGGUCCAAACGGUGUCGUGUUACGCGAAGCGACGCCUGUUGCCUGACUCAUUUUCAGACGGCUUGAAUUGCUUAUUGAAUUAUUGCGACUGUUCGGCGAGCGUGGUAGGAAGUGGACGGUCACCCCCGGUCUCUAUAAAUAGCCUGCUUGCCCAAUCAUUUUCUUCACUUAGCCUUUGAUCAUCUGAUUUCUUCUUCUUCCUUGCUCCCUUCUUCUCCAACCAACGAUAGGCAGGGUAGGAGUGGUAGAGGCUUGCCUCGCCGUGCUGGCAGCAAACGUAAGCGUGCUCCAAGUCCUUCUUCCGAGGACUUCGGCGAUUCAGAGUACUCGGAGUAGGUUUCCUUGGAGUCUGAGCGAUCGCCGACUCCUGCCUCUCCUCCAGCGUCAUCCGACGACUCGGAUGACUCCAGGGGACUGUCCACCGUAGUCCGGGCGUACUGGCAUUCCAUCGAGCGCGCUGGGCUCGGUGGGUCGGAUGAAUCGGGGGUCUCCUCGGAUGAGGAGGACUCGUCUGACUCCUCUGAGGAGUGGAGCGGUGGUGACGAUGAUGGAGGCGACGGUGGCAGCAGCGGCGACGACGACGGAGGCGAUGGCGGCAGCAGCGACGACAGCAAGGGCGGCGACGGUGACGACAGCGGCGACGGCGGCAAAGGUGACAGCGGCGAUGACAGCAAGGGCGACAGCGGCGACGGCAGCAGCAGGGGCGGCGACGGUGACGGCAGCGGCGACGGCGUCAAUAGGGGCGGCAGUGGCAAGACUAGUGGCGCGAUGCCACUGGUUAAAUAUUUGUAUAGAUAAUAGUUGUAGUAGUAAGUAGAAUAAUGUAGUGUUAGUUAGUAGUGUAGUGUAGUGUAAGUAGUAAGGUAAUGUAAUGUAACGUAGUAACCAGGGUAGAAGAAGUUGACUCAUAAUGACUCGGCUUCGAGUUUGUGCUACCCCCUCCGGUAUGAAUCAAAGACGCAGUUGCUUCAAAUGAUCACUGUUGUGUUGGUUUUUAUUAGCGCGCUUGAAAGUUUGUCUAUGCGCUUGACAGUGCUGGUAUUUUAGAGGUAAUGUCUGAGUGACUACUGAGGCUUUUACUUUUCUGAGUGGUGAUCUGGCACUUUAGAGAUAAUGCCUAACCCAAGAAACCCAUUUAUACUCGCACCGACAUGCCUUUUUGAUUUCUGAACCUUAACUUCACUUUUUCACUCAGCCGCUUUUCUGCCUUCCUGAAUUUCUAAGCCCACUCAUUCCGCCCGAGAGAUUGUAAUGGCUCCCAAGCGGAAGAGGCUGAGUGUCGUUGCUGCGAUCAUCCCGCCCAUCGAUCCCAAAAGCCAGCUUCUGUUUGCUGGUAAUCACUUGUCUAUUAUUACUGAAUCUUAUCUUUUCCACCUUGUUGAGAUUGGGGUUUUGCCGCCAAAGGAACUCUGUUCUUGGCGGAUCUGUCGCGGAGUCACUGUUCCAACAGAGGACACACAUGAAUCUAUUGUCUAUGUGUCGUUUCUUAUCCGUGGGCUUGCUAUUCUCAUCUCUCCUUUUUUCCGCGGCCUCCUUGAUUUUUACGAAUUAAAUCUGACACACUUAAACCCUAACUCUAUUCUUCAAGUUGCCAUUUUUGUACAUCUGUGCGAGGCUUUUCUCGGAAUUCUCCCCCAUUUCGGACUCUAGAGAUAUCUCUAUCAUUGUCGGCCCGGGAUGGCUGGAGGGCAGCAUCAGCUUGUCGGCGGUGCAAGUUUAGAGCUUCACCGGGGGAGGAAAGUAGAAUAUCUCGAUAUCCCCCUCAAGGACAGCAUUAAGGGAUGGCGUCUUGAGUGGUUCAUCGUGGAGAAUCACGACAAAUCCCUCCCCCUUGGUCAGGGAGGCAACAAUACGUUCAUACGCCCAGCUGGGUAGAGUCUCCCACUUUUUUAGAGAUAACCGAGGCCAAAGUGCUGCUUGCUGAAAUCUGCUUGUUGAAGGAUAGGGGUCUGACUGCUAAAGCCGUGGUCGCUGACUUUGUCUUCAAGAACAUUCAACCCUUGAAGGACAGAGUUUAUCCCACUUAUUUGUAUAUCGGCAUCAAUGAUUCCACCCAGGUCACAAAUAGACAGAUUCCCAAUGAGGACUUGCUGAGCCGACUGGAUAUGAUUCUGAGGGGCAGGGUCUCGAAUGCUGGUGCUCCUUUAGCUUACUUUGCGUGGAACCUGCCUCCAGAUAGGCCAUUCUCUGAAUUUGUCUCCAACCCUCCUGCUCGUGAUGGUAGCCCGGGCCAUAGAGUGCGACCCUCCCCCGAGGAUAUUGAAGCCUUGAUUGCCCCACUUUGGAGUCUUCCUGAGGCUGAGAGGUGAACUCACUUUGAGAUGCCAGCUAGCACCGAUGAUGCUGAGAUGGACGUCGUGUUUAGUGUGCUGGUCGGGGAAUCGUCUGACUCUACCCGUACCGAGCCGAUGGCCAUCACGACUGGACAAAAGUUUGACGAGGAUGUGGAGAUCCAGAAACUGAAGGUGCCCACCCAAAGCAUUCAUGCCGAGUGAGCCGCCCGGCUGCACCUGUCGAGAAGAAGAAGAAGAAGAAGAGGCGACUUCAACGACUAUCAUGCCUGGAUCAAGAUGCUGGUCCUUCUGCGUCGAUCCUUGGUGAUGGCCUGGUGGACGCCAUUCCUGAGGUCAAUGCUGAAGGUUGUGAUGAUGCACAGGCUGCUGGCGGUGUAUUUGACGAGGAUCAAGAGGAAGAAGAGGAGGAAAUUUUGCUGAUCCGCAAGAACAGCCGUCAUUAUAGAGGCAGCGAUGGGGGCAGCGAUAUUCCCUCCCAAGCCCUAUCGGCACUCAUCAGCCUUCAGGGGCUUUCAAUAUCAGACUUUGAUCAGGUACUAGAAGAGGUCAUUCCCGAAGACAUUUUAUCAGAGCCUCCUGAGGCUGACAUUCCAACCAUAUGUUUAGAGGUCCCAGAUGGUGGACUUUUGCUGCAUGAUUCUGCUGGGCAAGAGGCGACCUGGGUGGUGUCUCGUACACGUCGACCUUGGAGGGCAGUCUUCCAUGUAAAAAUGCUGAUCCGAGUCAUCCAACUCCUAUGGAGGUGGCUGAGGGGCCUUCAGCCUUAGAAGUGGCUGUUGUAGAGGACCCAGCCCCCGAGGGUGGCGCUGGUUGUGACCCAGCCUCCGAGGGUGGCGCUGGUAGCAAUCCAGCCCCCGAGGGUGUUGGAGCAUGCUCUUUCUCUACCGCUUCCAUGGACGUCCACACUGGAUCACCCUUAGUCCGGUCCGAGGAGGUUGUGGUGACACGCGUUUCUACGGCUCUCGCUGGUCAAGUCGCUUUAGAGAUCAGCGAGCCAAACGCCAGGAGCCUACUGCCUACUGGUGGGGCUGAAGUUACCCCGAGUCGUGCUCUUGAGAUUGAUCCUGCUAAUCUUCCCUCAUCAAGCCAUGCACUGGUUCUUCCUGUGUUGGGUCUUCCACUAUUCCUUUUCAAUCUUCAGGUGAGUCAACUUUUUGCUUUUUAUUGUUCAUACUGGCGAAUUAUCUUUUUUGCUUAUCUGUCCAUGACCACAUGAUUUUGUUGCGAUGAUUUGAAGGCGUCGAACGCUGGUUAGUGAACUCACGGCCUGUCUAGUUGAUUUAAUUACUCAGCUUAUCUUUAAUCGUGCGUUCUCUUUCAGCUGCUUUAUCAUAUAUGGCUCGGCGGUGCUCUGACUUUGAGGAGAAGUACUCUCAGAGUUAGGCCGACUUAGCCCAGACCUGUGCUUUUCUGGAUAGUGCACGUUCCCUGAAUUCUUCUCUGAAUGCCCAGCUUGAUUCCGAGAGGAUGGCACAUGAGGUAAACUUCCUUGGCUGACCUUGCCUUGCUAUCCUUGCUUCAAUGCUGAAUGUUGUUCUCUGUUCGCAGGAAGAAAAACAAACACUUGUUGCUUCCCGAGACAAUCUGGACAGGCUAUACCAUGACGCUAGUAACUCCUUGACCAUCCUAAAGAUGGGUCACUGCUUCACCAUGUCUGACUUGGACCAUCAUUGCCACGAGCUGCAUGCAUCUCAGGAUGAAGUUUCUCGACUCGGCCAGUUGUUGUCCACCAAGGACUCCACCAUCAGGGAACUACGUGCCUCCAAGAAUCUUGUCGCGUAGGAGCUGGAGGCCACUCAACUUGCUAUUAAGAGCUUGGAGAAUAAUUGUGCCGUCCUGCAAGCUCACCGCGACAGGGCUAUGGACAAAGCCAUUCGCGCUGGGCGGAUCCGGAUGAGGAGACCUAGCGUAGUGGUGCCCGAUGAUAUUAUUGCUGAUGUCAAGGCCGCGCCUGAUGCCGCAAGCCGUCCAUCCUCUUCCGUUGCCCCUACGAAGGAUACUGUCUGCAAAGAUGUUUCGACGCGGUGAUCUCCUAUAAAACACUUAUUUAUUCUAGUUAGAAUCUCUUUAGAGAAAAGAUGUAAUAUAAAUUAUGCAUGUGUGCGACAAUUAUGUUAGAACUUGAUCAUUCUGUGAACAGGGUGCUGGAAAACCCCUGGCACUUGUAAGUGAGAUAUUUCUUUUGUCUAAGUACUCUUAAUUUGAGCUGGUUAUUUUACUACUAGGGUACAGUGGUCACCCCAAAUCAUGUGAAUGCAAGUAUGCUACAUCAACUUAAGGCGCCUCUGACUUAAGCCGACUGCUCCGUUAGCAGGGUAUAGUGAUCACCCUAAGUCAAGUAAGUGCGAGCAUGUCGCACCGUCUUAAGUCAUCUCCGACUUAAGUCGAUGCUCUGUUGAACAGGGUAUAGUGGUCACCCUAAGUCAGGUAAGCGUGAGCAUGUCGCACCGACUUAAGUCGUCUCCGACUUAAGUCGAUUGCUUUGUUUAACAGGGUAUAGUGGUCACCCUAAGUCAGGUAAGCAUGAGCAUGUCGCACCGACUUAAGUCGUCUUCGACUUAAGCUGAUUGCUCUGUUUAACAGGGUAUAGUGGUCACCCUAAGUCAGGUAAGCGUGAGCAUGUCGCACUGACUUAAGCCGCCUCCGACUUAAGCCGAUUGCUCCGUUUAACAGGGUAUAGUGGUCACCCUAAGUCAGGUAAGCGUGGGCAUGUCGCACCGACUUAAGCCGUCUCCAACUUGAGCUGAUUGCUCCGUUUAACAGGGUAUAGUGGUCACCCUAAGUCACGCCAUUCCGAUUCCGAGUUAAGCUCAAUUGAAGUCAGUAGUCAGUCGAGAGUCUGAAUGUCUUUGGAAAAUGAAAGCUUUAUCGAUGAUGAAAUCUUCCGGUUACAGAAUAUAGUUUUCCUUUUUUUUGAAGCAUCGCUAAGGGUAGAACUUUCUGAGGUGCUCUAUGUUCCAUGAGUUCCCCACUUCUAUGUCAUCCAUCUGAGUAAGUUGGUACGAUCCCAGCAGUGUGACUUCUGAAACGAUGAACGGUCCUUCCCAUAGUUACGACAACUUGUGUCGUCCCUCCCCCGUUAGAAUUUGGGGGAGGACCAAGUCUCCCACUGCAAAGGAUCGAUGCCGCACAGCUUUGUCGUGGUAGCGCCUCAAGGUCUGCUAGUACCUGGCCGACUGAAUUACUGUGUUCAAUCGUUCUUCUUUCAGCACAUCAAUGUCUUCAAACCUGGUUGCUUCUACCUUAGCUAUGUUUUCAAAAGUCAACCUAGGCGCUCUGCAGAUCAGAACGGCAGGCAACACUGCUUCCGACCCAUAAACCAUGAAGAACAGGGUGUUCCCAUGCAGAGCUCGACUGGGUUGAGUUUGCAGGCUCCAGCCCACGUACGAUAGUUCUCUGAUCCAUUUUCCUGCAAGCUUUUCACUCUUAUCGAAUACCUUCUUUUUGAGUGCUUCCAGUAUCAUUCCGUUAGCUCUUUCCACCUGGCCAUUGGCUCUUGGGUGUGCUACCGAUGCGUACUUAAUCUGGAUACUCCUUUGCUCGCAGAAAUCGAAGAAUUUAGAGCUGGUGAAGUUGGAUCCCAGGUCAGUGAUGAUGCUAUUGGGUAUCCAAAACCUGAAUAUUAUGUCCUGGACAAACUCCACUGAUUUGGCUGAGGUCAAAGAGGCAAUUGGCUUGUACUCUAUCCAUUUUGUGAAUUUGUCAAUGGCAACAAGUAUAUGAGUAUAGCCUCCUUGAGCUUUCUUGAAAGGUCUGAUCAUGUAUAGUCCCCAGCAUGCAAACGACCAUGUUACAGGAAUGGUCUGCAUCGGCUGUGCGGGCAAGUGAUGUUGCUUCGAUAGAAAUUGGUACGCUUCACACUUUUGAACUAACUCGGCACCAUCGCUCUUUGCAGUUGGCCAGUAGAAACCGGAUCUGAAAGCCUUCUCGACCAGAGUCCUUGAUGCAGCAUGUACCCCACACUGCCCGGCAUGGAUUUCAUCCAACAAUUGUCUCCCAGUGGCCGAGUGAAUGCAUUUCAUGAAGACCCCUCCUGCACCUCUCUUGUACAGUGAGCCUCCUAUAAUGGUGUAGUGGGCUGACUGCCUUGCGAUGCGUUCUGCUACAGCCUUGUCGUCCGGCUCUUCUUCAUUCUUUCUAUACCUGAUGAUAGGCUCUCUCCAGUCGUUAGGAUCUGCCUCUGGCUGAGUCAAGGCAUUGCACUCUUCCACCUGAUCCGUGAGGAUGCUCGGAUGUGAUAUUUCUUGGAUGAAAAUCUCAGGUGGAGCCUGGGCCCGACUGGAUCCUAGCUUUGACAACGCAUCCGUUGCUGCGUUGUGAUCUCUUUUCACGUGAUGGAACUCCAAUCCCUCGAAUUUGUCUUCCAGUUUUCGCACGACUGCGCAGUACUUGCCCAUUGAUUCAGUCGAGCAGUCCCAGUCCUUGUUUAUCUGGCUUAUGACCACCAGCGAGUCAUCAUAUACCAUCAGUUUCUUGAUGUCGAGUGAUACGGCAAUGCUCAGCCCGUGAAUCAGUGCUUCAUACUCUGCCGCAUUAUUUGAUGUUGGAAACAGCAGCUGGAGUGCAUACUUGAGUUGUUCACCUCUAGGAGCAGUAAAAAUAAUCCAUGCACCCACUCCUUGCAGCUUCAGCGAGCCAUCAAAGUACAUUCUCCAUACCUCAGCGACUUCUGGGCUAUCCGGAACCUGGUGUUCAGUCCAUUCUGAUACGAAGUCGACUAGCGCCUGAGUCUUAAUUGUUGUGCGGGGCCAGAACUCUAUGUCGUGAGCUCUCAGCUCGCAUGCUCAUUUGGCUAUCCUUCCAAUAUCUUCUUUGUUGUGGAGAAUGUCUCCUAUCGGGAAUCCUGUGACUACUAUGACUUUGUGAUCAUCAAAGUAGUGUCGGAGCUUGUGAGCGGUUAGAAGUACCGCGUACAACAGCUUCUGGACUUGAGGAUACCUUAUAUUUGAGGGCCCGAGGACUUCACUGAUGAAGUAGACUGGAUGUUGCACCGGGUAUGCAUGUCCUUCCUCCGCCCGCUCGACUACUAACGCGGUGCUUACCACGUGAGUCAUGCAGGAGAUGUACGGGAGCAGAUCUUCUACCGGCCGACCGGGCGUAGCUCGGUGUGGCGGCUUGAGUACUGGUGGUGUGGUCAAUAACUUCUUUAGUGCCUCUUAAGCUUCCUGUGCCUCUGUGGUCCACUAAAACUUGUCCACCUUCUUGAGCAAUUUGUAAAAUGGCAUGCCUUUCUCACCUAGCCUUGAUAUGAACCUGCUUAGGGCUGCCAUGCAUCCAGUAAGCCUUUGUACCUUUUUCUAUGAUCGUGGCGCUUCCAUUCUCAUGAUGGCCUCGAUCUUUUCUGGAUUAGCUUCAAUUCCUCGGUGGCAGACAAUGAAUAUGAGUAGCUUCCUUGCUGAUACUCCGAAUACACAUUUUUCUGGGUUCAGCUUCCACCGGUAGCGCCUCAGGCUGUUGAAGACCAACUGCAAAUCUUCGAAGAAGUUUUCUGAGCUUUUUUUCUUGAUCACCACAUCAUCGACGUAGGCUUCCACCCGCUUGCCCCAGUGAUAGGCUAAGCAUGUCUGGAUAGCUCUCUGGUAAGUCGCUCCUGCGUUCUUGAGGCCGAACGACAUGGAGGUAUAGCAGAAAGCUCCAAACAGGGUGAUGAAAGCAGUCUUCUCCAUAUCUUCUUUUGCCAAGCUGAUCUGAUGGUAUCCAAAAUAGCAGUCUAGGAAGGACAACAAAGAACAGCCAGCAGUCGAGUCAACUACCUGAUCUAUUCUAGGGAGCCCGAAGGGAUCCUUCGGACAAUGCUUGUUGAGAUCAGUAUAGUCGACGCACAUGCGCCAAUCUACUUUAUUCUUUUUGAGUACAAGAAUAGGAUUCGCUAGCCACUCGGGGUGCAGCACCUCCCUAAUGAACCCCGCAGACACUAAGCAGGCUAACUCGGUGCGAAUAGCCUCUCUUUUAUCGGGCGUGAAACGACGCAGCUUUUGUCAAAUCGACCUUGCUUGAAGAUAGACCUUCAAUUUGUGCUUGGCCAGUUCCCUCGGGACUCUCGGCAUAUCCGCAAGUUGCCAUGCAAAUAUGUCUCAGUUUUCUUGCAGGAACCGGAUGAGCGCACUUUCCUAUUUGUCAUCGAGGUUGGAACUGAUGAUGGCAGUCUUGCGCUCAUCAGCGAAUCCUAGGUUGAUCCUCUUAGUCUCUUCAGUCGACCGUAUAGAGGUCACGAUUUGAGCUUCGUUAGUGGGUAUUGUGAGACCCUCCUCUGACUUGAUGUCUGCUUGUUCGGGGGGAGUUGUCGGGCGUCUAGCAGUGAGGGCUGCUUGGAUGUCUCCCCGAAAGCACUCCGCGUCGCCUUGAAAGUCAGCGUGCAUGGUGAUAAUUCCUUGUGGUCCCAACAUCUUCAAUAUCAUGUAUGAGUAAUGCGGAAUGGCCAUGAACUUUGCCAGUCCCGGCCUACCAAUGAUGGCAUUGUACCCGCAGUCGAAGCGUGCCACCUCAAACCUUAGGAAUUCAGUUCUAUAGUUCUCCGGAGUCCCGAAGGUGACAUGCAUGUAGAUGUGCCCGAGUGGGUACUCCCCUUCAGUCGGCACGAUACCGAAGAAGGGAGUAUCUGAUUCGGUGAGGUCUUUGAGUGCGACCCCCAAGGCUAGGAGCGUCUGGGGGAAGGUAACGUUAAUGCUACAUCCCCUUCCACUAGUACUUUCUUCACUCGGCUCUCUCGGAUCACUAGAUCAACGAGGAGUGGUACUUGCCGGGGUGGUCGAAGUUGAGCCACUGAUCUGCUCGGCUGAAGGUUAUUGCGUGUUCCGACCACCAAUAAGGAGCUGGGGCACCGGUGGUUGCCACAAGGAUCUAUCGAUCAUUGAGCUUCUGCUGCCUCCUGUUCUCUUGAGCUCUGUGUCCUCCGAAUAUGACGUUGACCUCCCUGUCAACGCGCAGGAACGCUCUGCCCCCUCCCCCUUCUUGGUGCUGAGGCUGCCUGGGCUCACCAGGCCCUCCUCGUGGUGGGGGACGUGGUAGAGGCUGGAACGGUCGGUCAUGUUCGACGGAGUGCUUGAAAUCCCUACAGUUCCGUAGGGUGUGGCACAUGUCCUUGUGGUACGGGCACUGGGCAUCGAGGAUGUCAUCUAGUGUCUGCUCGCCUCCGUGGGGCGCACCUUGGGCUCGAGCGACGGGUGGUCCGACGGCGUGUACCUCCUCACGAGGCCUCUUCUCCCAGCGCCUAUCAGGUUGCUGGUUCGUGUCGCGCUGUGACACGAGUGGAGCAGGUUUUGUACCUCCGAUGAGGUUCUGGGCCCGCACAUCUAUGGUGAUGUAGAGAUCUGCAUCUCGAAACAGUUGUUUGGAGGCGGGCGCUUUUUGCAGUAUGGCUCGAACGAAGGCCGAGUCAUUGGAUCCCCGGUAGAAAUCUUCGAUCACUGCUGCCUCGGUGACUUCGGGGAUGUGGCUCCUCAUGGUCUAAAACCUCUUGAGGUAUGAGCGGAGUGUUUCAUCCCCCUGGCGCCUGAUGGAUUUGAGGUCUCAUGGCUGCGCUGGCUUGUCAGAGAGAGACUUGAAGUUGGCGAUGAACCGCCGACUGAAGUCUCUCCAAUCAUCGAUGCAGUGUCAUGGCAGAUGUUGUAUCCACUGCAGUGCGUCUUUGAGAGUACCUAGAGGGGGUGAAUAGGUGAUCCUGUAAAAUCAAACACUAAUAGCCAUAAAACUUAGUUUAAAGUGUUAGUACGGCUAAGUAGCUUUGAAGCGAGUUCUUGUGAACACAACAAUCACAGAGAAAGCUACACAAGAGACACAUGAUUUUUAUCCCGUGGUUCGGCCAAGUAACACUUGCCUACUUCCACGUUGUGGCGUCCCAAUGGACAAGGGUUGCACUCAACCCCUUUCAAGUGAUCCGAUGAUCAACUUGAAUACCACGAUCUUUUCCUUUAGAGUAUGUUUCCCGUUUGCGAGGAAUCUCCAUAAUUUGGAGUCUGUCGCCCUUACAAUUGAGAUCACAAAGAAAGCACAGAGUAAGGUUGGGGAGAGCAACACACACACGUCUCAAAUCCGCAGCACAACAACGCACACAAGUGAGAACGUGAGCACACAAACACAGCGCGAGGAGUUUACAACUCGAAUAGUGCUCAAAUCUCAAGAACGAUGAUCCAAUUGUGUGAAAGCGGAGUCUAGAUGUCUUAGGAUGUUUCUUGUAAGCUUGGUGCCCUCCUCCAUGCGCCUAGGGGUCCCUUUUAUAGCCCCAAGGCAGCUAGGAGCCAUUGGAGGCCAACUUGGAAGGCCAAACUUGCCUUCUGUCGGGUGGUGCGCCGGACAGUCCGGUGCACCACCGGACAGUCACUAUAGGUAUCCGGUGCGUGAUCGCCUUCCAUAUCUGGUGCAUCCGACCGUUGGUCCUCGGGGUCGGUUGGCGCACCGGACACUGUCCGGUGCACACCGGAUAGUCCGGUGUGCCCAACCGACCGUUGCUGCGGGCCACGCGUCGCCCGCAGAUCGCGCGGCCGACCGUUGGCGCUGGCGACCGUUGGCUCACCGGACAGUCCGAUGAAUUAUAGCCGUAUGCCUCUGCAUUUUUCUGAGAGCAGCCGGUUAAUCGCCGGCCAGCCUGCACCACCGUACAUUAUCCGGUGCACCACGGACAGUCCGGUGUGCCUGGCCAGAGUUGGUGUUGGCUGCACACAGCCAACUCUUUUCCUUCUCUUUUCCUUUUCUUUUCCUCUUCUUUUGUCACUGUUUCUAGUACUUAGAUAAACACAUUAGUAUUAAAAACAAUAUACUAAGUCUAGAAACAUACCUUUGUCUCUGAUUUGCAUUUCUCACACAUUUUUCUCAUAAGUACUCAUUUAAUGUGUUGGGCAUCUAAUCACCAAAAUACUUAUAGAAAUGGCCCAAGGGCACAUUCCCUUUUCAAUCUCCCCCUUUUUGGUGAUUCAUGCCAACACAUCAAAAAGCAACCAAAGAAGUGCAACAUCAAUGCAAUUGAAGACCAAAUUAUUUUUGCUAAUGAUUUUGGCAUAUUUGGAUCACUCUUUGCCACCACUUGGUUUGUUUUUGCAAAUCAAAUUCUUUUUCCUAUCUCUAAGUCAAACACACUUGUUUGGGCAAAUCGAGAGAUAUUUCUAGAGAAAAAUUGAUCAAGUGCCAAAAGCUCCCCCUUUUCCCAUAAUCAAAAUUCUCCCCCAUAAGAGACCAAAUUUUGCAAUAAGAGUAUUUUGGACAAGUCACAAAUUCUAACUCUACUAUUUUCGAAAUUCUCAAGUGGUUGGCUGAUCCAGUUGCUUUGGCCUUAAUUUCUCCCCCUUUGGCAUUAAGCACCAAAACGGAAUCAUUCUUGGCCCUUUAACCCCAUUGCCUCACCAAAAAUAUCAAUUAAGAGCAAAAAGGCAAUGAGAUCGCAAGUAUGAACUUGGAAGUAAGUACACUAAUACCAGAGUGCAGUGGAAGUAUUUUCAUUGUCCAAGUUCACCUUUCCCUUUCAAUGCACCUUUGAGACUACAUCAAGUAUGCUCAAACAAACAGGUUAGUCUUAAAGGGUCAAGUUGUAGCACAUCUCCCCCUAAAUAUGUGCACCAUUUGCAUAUGGACUUGUGAGGUCCGGGGAGGUCUUGUACAACUUGAGCACCACAAAUAUACAACGAAUAAUGUAAAUGCUUAAAGUGACAUGAUCAAAGGCAUAGAACAUAUGUAUGCUAUUGAUCAAUUCAAGUUACGUGAAUCUAAGACAUUUAGCUCACUUCACAACUUGCAAAAUGUUUUCUCAUCCAACGGCUUGGUGAAGAUAUCGGCUAGCUGGUUCUUGGUGCUAAUAUGAAAAAUAUCGAUAUCUCCCUUUUGCUGGUGAUCCCUCAGGAAGUGAUGCUGGAUGUCUAUGUGCUUAGUGCGGCUAUGUUCAACAGGAUUAUCCGCCAAGCAGAUUGCACUCUCAUUAUCACAUAGGAGUCGGACUUUGCUCAGAUUGUAGCCAAAGUCCCGGAGGGUUUGCCUCAUCCAAAGUAGUUGUGCGCAACACUGUCCUACGGCAACAUACUCGGCCUCAGCGGUGGAUAGGGCAACAGAUGUCUGUUUCUUGGAACUCUAGGACACCAGGGACCUUCCUAGAAAUUGGCACGUCCCUGAUGUACUCUUCCUAUCAACUUUGCACCCGGCAUAAUCAGAGUCUGUGUAUCCAAUUAAGUCAAAGGUAGACCCCUUUGGAUACCAGAUCCCGAAGCAAGGCGUAGCAACUAAAUAUCUAAGAAUUCGCUUAACGGCCACAAGGUGACACUCCCAGGGGUCAGAUUGAUGUCUAGCACACAUGCAUACACUUAGCAUAAUGUCCGGUCUACUACCACAUAAAUAAAGUAAUGACCCUAUCAUGGACCGGUAUGCCUUUUGAUCGACGGACUUACCUCCUUUGUUGAGGUCGACAUGCCCGUCGGUUCCCAUUGGUGUCUUCGCGGGCUUGGCGUCCUUCAUCCCAAACCUCUUGAGAAGAUAUUGAGUGUACUUUGUUUGGGAGAUGAAGGUACCGUCCUUGAGUUGCUUCACUUGGAAUCCAAGGAAGUAUGUUAACUCGCCCAUCAUCGACAUCUCAAACUUUUGCAUCAUCACCCUGCUAAAUUCCUCACAAGACUUUUGGUUAGUAGAACCAAAUAUUAUGUCAUCGACAUAAAUUUGGCACACAAAAAGAUCACCAUCACAAGUCUUGGUAAGAGUGGGAUCAGCUUUCCCAACCUUGAAAGCAUUAGCAAUUAAGAAAUUUCUAAGGCAUUCAUACCAUGCUCUUGGGGCUUGCUUAAGUCCAUAGAGCGCCUUAGAGAGCUUAUAGACGUGGUCGGGAUACCUGUCAUCCUCAAAGCCAGGGGGUUGUUCCACGUAUACCUCCUCCUUGAUUGGCCCGUUGAGGAAAGAGCUCUUCCUGUCCAUUUGAAACAGCCUAAAAGAGUGAUGAGCAGCAUAGGCUAAUAAUAUUCGAAUAGACUCUAGCCUAGCCACAGGAGCAAAAGUCUCCUCAAAAUCCAAACCUGCGACUUGGGCAUAACCUUUUUCCACAAGUCGAGCCUUGUUUCUUGUCACCACCCCAUGCUCGUCUUGCUUGUUAUGGAACACCCACUUGGUUCCCACAAUGUUUUGCUUUGGGCGUGGCACCAGGCUCCAGACUUCAUUUCUCUUGAAGUUGUUGAGCUCUUCCUGCAUGGCCAACACCCAGUCCAGAUCCUGCAAGGCCUCUUCUACCCUGAAAGGCUCAAUAGAAGAGACAAACGAGUAAUGCUCACAAAAAUUAGCUAAAUGUAAGCGAGUCGUUACUCCCUUGCUGAUAUCACCCAGAAUUUGAUCGACGGGGUGAUUUCUUUGGAUCGUUGCUUGGACUUGAGUUAGAGGGACCCAUGGUGCUUCUUCCUCCAUAACUUGUUCUUCUUGUGCUCCCCCUUGAUCAUGCUCCUCAUCUUGAGGUACCUGUCCAUCAUCUUGAGUUGGGGGAUGCACCAGCGUCAAGGAAGAAAGCUGAUCUUGUUCCUGUAGUUCCUGUGGUCGCACAUCACCUAUCGCCAUCGUGCGCAUUGCGGCCGUUGGAACUUCAUCUUCAUCUAUAUCAUCAAGAUCAACUUGCUCUCUUGGAGAGCCAUCAGUCUCAUCAAAUACAACAUCGCUAGAGACUUCAACUAACCCUGAUGAUUUGUUGAAGACCCUAUACGCCUUUGUAUUUGAUUCAUACCCUAGUAAAAACCCUUCUACAACCUUGGGAGCAAAUUUAGAAUGUCUACCUUUCUUCACCAGAAUGUAGCAUUUGCUCCCAAAUACACGAAAGUAAGAUACAUUGGGUUUGUUACCGGUAAGGAGUUCGUAGGAGGUCUUCUUGAGAAGGCGAUGCAGAUAGAGUCGGUUUAUGGUGUGGCAAGAUGUGUUCACAGCUUCCGACCAAAACCGCUCGUGCGUCUUGAACUCUCCUAGCAUUGUUCUCGCCAUGUCGAUAAGUGUCUUGUUCUUCCACUCUACCACACCAUUUUGCUAUGGUGUGUAGGGAGCGGAGAACUCGUGCUUGAUGCCUUCCUCCUCAAGAAACUCUUCAACUUGCAGAUUCUUGAACUCAGACCCAUUGUCGCUCCUUAUCUUCUUCACCUUUAGCUCAAAUUCAUUUUGAGCCCACCUUAGAAAGCGCUUUAGGGUCCCUUGGGUUUCAGAUUUGUCCUGCAAAAAUAAUACCCAAGUGAAGCGGGAAAAAUCAUCAACAAUUACAAGACCAUACUUGCUUCCCCUGAUGCUAAGGUAGGCAACGGGUCCAAAGAGGUCCAUGUGGAGAAGCUCCAGUGGUCUUGAUGUAGUCAUCACAUUCUUGCUGUGAUGAGUGCUUCCCACCUAUUUCCCUGCCUGACAUGCUGCACAAGGUCUGUCUUUCUCAAAGCAGACAUUAGUUAGUCCUAACACAUGAUCUCCCUUUAGAAGUUUAUGAAGGUUCUUCAUCCCAACAUGUGCUAGACGGUGAUGCAAAAGCCAGCCCAUAUUAGUCUUAGCCAUUAAGCAUGCAUCUAGAUCGGCAUUCUCUUUCGAAAAAUCUACUAAAUAGAGUUUGUCGUCUAAUACACCCUUAAAUGCUAAUGAACCAUCACUCCUUCUAAAGAUAGAUACAUCUAUAUUUGUGAAUAAACAUCUAUAGCCCAUGUUACAUAAUUGACUCACAGACAAUAAGUUGUACCCGAGCGAUUCAACUAAAAACACAUUGGAGAUCGAAUGCUCGGAUGUAAUGGCUAUCUUUCCCAAUCCUUUAACCUUGCCUUGGUUCCCAUCUCCAAAGAUAAUCGCAUCCUGGGAAUCCUUGUUCUUGACGUAGGAGGUGAACAUUUUCUUCUCCGCCGUCAUGUGGUUUGUGCAUCCACUGUCGAUAAUCCAGCUUGAGCCCCCGGAUGCAUAAACCCGCAAGGCAAUUUACGCUUGGGUUUUAGGUACCCAACUCUUGUUGGGUCCUACAAGGUUAGUCACAAUUACUUUUGGAACCCAAAUACAAGUCUUGUCUCCCUUGCAUUUGGAUCCCAACUUCCUAGCAACUACUUUUUCAUUCUUACAUGAAAGUACAAACGAGGUGUUGCAAGCAUGAAAAACAGUAGUAGAUUUAUUACACAUUUUCCUAGGCACAUGAUGCACAACAUGAUUUUUCCUAGGCCUACUUCUACCACGCACAAAAGUAGAACUAGAGGCAAACAUAGCAUGUGAAUCAUUGUAAGAAGUAUGAACAUAAGUCUUAUUAUAAUUGGAACGACUAGUAAUUUUCCUAUUAUAAAUGAAAGCAUGGUUCCUUUGAGGACUACUAGCCAUUGGGGCCUUCCCUUUCUCCUUGUUGAGGCUGGGAGCCUUUUGGCUUGUUAAGUUCUUGGUUUCCUUUCGAAAACCAAGUCCAUCCUUAAUUGAGGGGUGUCUACCAAUAGUGUAGGCAUCCCUAGCAAAUCUUAAUUUAUCAAAAUCACUUUUGCAAGUCUUAAGUUGAGUAUUAAGACUUGCCACCUCAUCAUUCAAUUUAGUAAUAAAAAUAAGAUGUUCAUUGCAUGCAUCAACAUCAAAGUCUUUACAUCUAUUACAAAUACUUACAUGCUCUACACAUGAACUUAUUUUACUAACUUCCUCCAACUUAACAUUUAAAUCAUUAUUUAAAUUCUUUAAACUAGAGAUAGAUUCAUGGCAACCAGAUAACUCAGAAGAUAGCAUUUCAUUUCUCUUAAUUUCUAAAGCAAGAGACUUUUGUACACUAACAAAUUUGUCAUGUUCCUCAUACAAAAUGUCCUCUUGCUUUUCUAGUAGUCUAUCUUUUUCAUUUAGAGCAACAAUUAAUACAUUAAUUUUCUCUACUUUGGCUCUAUCUAAACCCUUAAAUAAACUAGAGUAAUCUACUUCAUCAUCGGAGGAUUCCUCAUCACUAGAAGAAGAGUACUUAGGGGAAUCUUGAAUACGUACCUUCUUCUCCUUAGCCAUGAGGCAAGUGUGGCGUUCGUUAGGGAAGAGCGAAGACUUGUCGAAGGCCGAGGCAGCCAAUCCUUCAUCGUCAGAGUCAGAUGAGGAGCAGUCAGAAUCCCACUCCUUUCCAAGAUGUGCCUCGCCCUUCGCCUUCUUGUAGUUUUUCUUCUUCUCCUUCUUCCCAUACUUUUCUUGUCCCUGGUCAUUAUCGUUAUCGGGGCAUUGUGCUAUGAAAUGACCAGCCUUACCGCAUUUGAAGCAGGAGCGCUUUCCCCUUGUUUUGUUCUUGUUGGGGUACUCCUUGCAUCCUUUGAGUGCGGUCUUGAAACGUUUGAUGAUUUUGGCCAUCUCAUCUUCAUUUAGCCAGCAGCCUCCACUUGUGCCACCUUGCUUGGUAGCGCCUCCCUGCUGCUUGUUGCUUUGAGAGCAACGGGCUGUGGCUCGUAGACGGGUAGUGGACCAUUUAGUGCAUCGUCCACGUAUCGAGCCUCCUUCACCAUCAUGCGUCCACUCACAAAUUUUCCGAGGAUCUCCUCGGGCGUCAUCUUGGUGUACCUGGGGUUUUCACAAAUAAGGUUGACAAGAUGGGGGUCAAUUAUAGUAAAUGACCUUAGCAUGAGUCGGACGACAUCAUGAUCCGUCCAUCUUGUGCUUCCAUAGCUUCGGAUCUUAUAGACUAGGGUCUUGAGCCUAUUGUAGGUCUGACUUGGCUCCUCUCCCCUGAUCAUCGCGAACCUCCCCAGCUCGCCUUCCACUAGUUCCAUCUUUGUGAUCAUGGUGGCAUCAUUUCCCUCAUGUGAUAUCUUAAGGGUAUCCCAGAUUUGUUUGGCAUUGUCCAAGUCACUCACUUUAUUGUACUCGUCCCUGCAAAGAGAUGCUAACAACAUAGUAGUACCUUGGGCAUUUUAUGGAUUUGCUCAUUAAUAAUCAUAGGGUUAUCAGUGUUAUCAAAAUGCAUUCCACUUUCGACAAUUUCCCAAAUACUAGGAUGGAGAAAAAAUAGAUGACUACGCAUUUUAUGGCUCCAAAAUGAAUAGUCUUCUUCAUCAAAGUGUGGAGGUUUUCCAAGAGGAAUAGAAAGUAGAUGUGCAUUUGUAUUAUAUGGAAUACGGGAAUAAUCAAAAGAAUAAUUUUGGUUAACCGUUUUCUUUUUCGAUGAAGAGUCGUCGUCGUCGUCUCUUGGUGAAGAAGAUGAUGCCUCACUGUCGUAGUAGAUGAUCUUCUUGAUGAGUCUCUUCUUCUUCCCGUCUCUCUUUUUGUGACUUGAGCCGGAGUCGGUAGGCUUGUCGUCUCUUGGCUCAUUGAAGAGGGACUCCUUCUCCUUAUCGUUGACCACCAUCCCCUUUCCCUUAGGAUCCAUCUCUUCGGGCGGUUAGUCCCUUAGAUUAAGAGUACGGCUCUGAUACCAAUUGAGAGUACCUAGAGGGGGGUGAAUAGGUGAUCCUGUAAAAUCAAACACUAAUAGCCACAAAACUUAGUUUAAAGUGUUAGUACGGCUAAGUAGCUUUGAAGCGAGUUCUUGUAAAUACAACAAUCACAGAGAAAGCAACACAAGAGACAGGCGAUUUUUAUCCCAUGGUUCGGCCAAGUAACACUUGCCUACUUCCACGUUGUGGCGUCCCAAUGGACGAGGGUUGCACUCAACCCCUUUCAAGUGAUCCGAUGAUCAACUUGAAUACCACGCUCUUUUACUUUAGAGUAUGUUUCCCGUUUGCGAGGAAUCUCCACAAUUUAGAGUCUCUCGCCCUUACAAUUGAGAUCACAAAGAAAGCACAGAGUAAGGUUGAGGAGAGCAACACACACACGACUUAAAUCCGCAGCACAACAACGCACACAAGUGAGAACGUGAGCACACAAACACAGCGCGAGGAGUUUACAACUCGAAUAGUGCUCAAAUCUCAAGAACGAUGAUCCAAUUGCGUGAAAGCGGAGUCUAGAUGUCUUAUGAUGUUUCUUGUAAGCUUGGUGUCCUCCUCCAUGCACCUAUGGGUCCCUUUUAUAGCCCCAAGGCAGCUAGGAGUCGUUGGUGGCCAACUUGGAAGGCCAAACUUGCCUUCUGUCGGGUGGUGCACCGGACAGUCACUGUAGCUAUCCGGUGCGCGAUUGCCUUCCAUAUCUGGCGCAUCCGACCGUUGGUCCUCGGGGUCGGUUGGCGCACUGGACACUGUCCGGUGCACACCGGACAGUCCGGUGUGCCCAACCGACCGUUGCUGCGGGCCACGUGUCGCCCGCAUAUCGCGCGGCCGACCAUUGGCUCACUGGACAGUCCACUGCACAACCGAACAGUCCGGUGAAAAUUAUAGCCGUACGCCUCUGCAUUUUCCCUAGAGCAGUCGGUUCAUCGCCGGCCAGCCUGGCGCACCGGACACUGUCCGGUGCACCACCGGACAGUCCGAUGUGCGUGGCCAGAGUUGGUGUUGGCUGCACACAGCCAACUCUUUUCCUUUUCUUUUCCUUUUCUUUUCCUCUUCUUUUGUCACUGUUUCUAGUACUUAGAUAAACACAUUAGUAUUCAAAAACAAUAUACUAAGUCUAGAAACAUACCUUUCUCUCUGAUUUGCACUUCUCACACAUUUUGCUCAUAAGUACUCAUUUAAUGUGUUGGGCAUCUAAUGACCAAAAUACUUAUAGAAAUGGCCCAAGGGCACAUUUCCUUUUCAGUCUUGCCCCCGGACGAUGGGCAAAUACGCUGUCAUUACGUCUUCUGUUGCCCCAGCAACCGAGUGGCGGUCGUGUAGACGGUCAACCAACCUCCCGGGUCCUGCUUAGGCUCGUACUUGUCGAUGUUGGAGACUUUGAAGUUAGUAGGCCACUGGAUGGCCCGGAGACACAGAGUAAGCGCGGAGACCUCGGGCAUGUGUCUUCUUGUUGGCGUUCAUGUUGUCGGUCCCGGGGAGGGGAGUUGGCGGUGUGUCGUCUCGACCGUCCUCGGUCGGGCCACUAGUUGAGGCCGCAGCUGACUCAGCUCGGCUAGUGCGACUUCGAGCCGGGACACCAUGGUCCCGGUCGUAUUUCUCCCGUGCCUUAUCUCAUUUUCGUGCCGUCGGUCGCGUGAAGUGUUUAUGGAGCUCCACGCGUCUCGUUGGCUGUUGAUGGCGUGGCAUAGGUCUCUUGGGGGUGAGCGAUGUGCAGAAGGUGAUUGGCUGCCCGAGUAAGCAGUCGUCGAUAGCCUCUUGCGUCUGGAGUUCGCGGGAGGCCAUCAGUUAUCUGGGCCAGCACCCCUCCAACUUCACUUGGCGUGUUCAUUGCGCGGGCGAAGUCGGGGUUCAGGUUUCGAGCAAAGAGAGGAUUCUCUCCGCGCAACCUUGCGCCUUGCUCGGCUUUCUCCCGCUCUCGGUCCUGAGCCUGUCGGCGAUCACGUCGGCGAGAAUUCCGUCUUUCUCGGUAUACUUGCUCAUCGGGAGUUUCUCCCACUUCUGAAACUUCAUUCCGAGAUACGGGCUGCGCUGGGUCCCGCUCCCCAACCUUGUGAUGUCGCCGAACAUUCUGGCGUCUGUUCCUUCGUCACCGUGCUUCACGCUGGGGAGGUUCUUCCCCUUGUAAGGUUGGCUCGUCAUCAGAGAUGGGAGACGACUCCAAUCUCCUCCCGAUGAAGAGGAUGUCGGGGUAGAAAGGAGCUACCGCGAUGGUGUGUUUCUUUCCGUCCUCCUUUGAGGGCGAAGGUGCCGGGAAGAUGACUCGGCAAGGUCCCGUUCCCUUUCUCGGGACGUCUGCCUCCUUCUUUCUAGUAAUCCGUGUACACGCCUUUGUGGGCGAGGUGGAUAGCGGAUUUUUUUGGGUAGGUAAACUCCUGAUUUUUGGUUUGUAAGAGGUAAUCUUCGCUUGGGGCGUGGGAGGUUGCGCCACCCGUUGUUCUACUCCAGGUUUCCUGGGGAUCUCCUAGGAAAACUUCUUCUCCGGCGGAUCUGCUAUGCGGUGCAGAGUUCCUUUCUAAUCUACUAUGGACGAGAUGGUUCCGAAGCAGAACACGGAUCCAGGGAGAAGAGCGAUCUUCCACUGGGAUGUGACGGCCAUUGAGCUAGCUUGGAUCAACGACACACCCCCUACCUGGCGCGCCAGCUAUCGGUGUUUAGUGCCCGACCGCACACCUAGGGUUACCCCUCGUGGUGCUUUUGGGUAGGACGGUGCUGUCGACUGUAGCUCAAUGGUUCGUGCUGGGUGCAUGACAGAUGGACAUGCAAUUUUCUACAGGUUCGGGCCGCCUUGAGAGGCGUAACACCCUACUUCCUACUGUGGAUCUUUAUGUGGUGGGUUACAAGUGGAGUCUCCUGGAUGGAGAACGGCUAAUGAGAUAAGUAGAUGGUCGAUGCAAAUGAUGGGGUACCCCUAGGCCUUAUAUACUCGACCGUGGGGCACUACAUGCGUACGUCAGGAUUAUGUGUACCCUAAAUAAUAGUGAACCGACUGAACUGAUCUUCCUACAUUCUUGCCGACUUAUCCCUAAUCCGUCCUGAUAUUCAAGGGCGCCGUGCAUGGGAAAGUCAGGUGGUUGCUGUGGAUAGCGCAUAAGCUGACGGGCCGCCCCGCUCUAAGUCAGCUUCCUCCUCAGGUUGGCCCAUUCCGCCAGUAGUUCUAGCCCGGCCCGCGAAGGGAAAACCUUGCAAGGCAACUGGCCUGAGGCCCCGCGUGAGGCCUUUUAGCCUUCUAGUGGACCCGGGGGAUAUCUGUCCCCCACUUGACCCUCAACAUAUAUUUACAGACAACCUAGAUUAUCAAGGCCUAUAUGGUCUUUUCUUCCUCUCCUUGGCUUGAACCGAAGCUACAUGGUAGCUUCGGCAAUUGGCAAUGUUGCUUCCACGUAAGGUCUUCGUCUUGAGAGCCUUCGGCAGAGGUAGAGAAGACCUCUGUAUCAUUUUGCCGAAGGUGUUUUUGUCUUGAGUACCUUCGGCGUAGGAGAAGACCCCCAACAGUCAUGCUUCAUAUUCUGUCCAUUCGCUACUUGUUCGUUAUAUUCCAAAACAUGCUUUCGUGCCUCCGACUGAUCCAUCGAAAGGUACUUCGGACGAUGGUACCUGAAAUAUUUAGAAAUAUACCAGAAAACAACCACUAUCUUAGGGUUUUGAGGACCUUCGUAAGAGGAAGGGCCCCAACACUUGGUAAUUACUUGGAAGGUACCACAUAGAACACAAUAACUAGUACUAUAUACACUCCUAUUCAACAACCGAGAACUAACUGUUGUACUCCUACUUUUAGUGCCUAUUAGAAGGGUGCGCGUCAAACUUCAACAAACUGGCAUACACUUUUCUAGGGACUGUCUGCGUUACUGAGUGGCGGGGCAAGCUAUUACCGUGUUGAUAAGUUUUCAUAAUUAGUGGCUUAAGUGAAGGUGUGAGGGAAACUACAUCGACGACGCAAUACAAAAUAUUGUUAUCGAUGAGGGCUUGUUCGGUUAGCACUCAAUCCAUGUGGAUUGAGUGGGAUUGGGUGGGUUUAAAUCCCAAGCAAGUCAAACUUCUUCUUAAUUUUUUCCAAUCCCAUUCAAUCCAUGGAUAACAGGUGUCGAGCUCCAAAAUGAGCGGCGGACGGUCCGGCCUUGAGGUCGGACGGUCCGUGAUCUGGACGGUCCACGCCUGUGGGCCGGACGGUCCGCGCGUGUGCAGAGCAGAUUAGGGUUCCGAGUUUUGUGCUAUGGUUGUUAGCUAGAUUCAUGGAAUUACCUCGGGAGAUUAGUUUGUAAAGGGUCCAACCCCCCUCCUCUAUAAAUAGAGAGGUAUACGACCGAUUUGUAAUCAUCAAUCGAAUCAAUAAUACUUCUAUCUCGCAUUUAUUUCCUGUACAAUUAGGAGUAGUUCUAGUUUAGCCUCUCAAUCCCCAAAUUCUUCGCUUCUCUUCGACUCUACGUCGAUUAGAGGAGUCUAGGUUGGCCUGCCCGAGCCUAGACAACUCCUAGGAUCUCUCCUCCCCGACGGGGUCCCUCCCGGGAGCGAGAUCCAGGCGUCGUCGGCGACCUUCCGCCGCCCCUGCGCACGAGCGGACCGUCCGGCCCCAGGGCGCGGACUGUCCGGCCGUCAGGCAGGAAACCCUAGCCUCGCGCCAGAUCGUGGACCGUCCGGCACCUAGCCGUGGACCGUCCGCCCCUGUGCAGAGAGCACCGCCACGGUUCGUGUUGAGUGAUUGGCGCCCGAAAAAGGUGUCAACAUACUUUUUGGCGACUCCACUGGGGAACGAUUUCAUACAGAUCUAUCGAGAUCGGCCCUCAAUGGCUGGUUCAAAGGAUAGCUGUGAAGUUUCCACCAGCAAUAUCAUCAAGCCGACAUGAGAAACCUUGCCGGCUGAAAAACAGCUCCUAUUCGAGGAGCGCCAGGAGCAGCUGAUCCAGGAAGCAAAGGCGAAAUUUCUGGCCGACUUCAAGGUGGACAGGAACAACAAAGUCGUUCGGCAACAGGCGAUAGAUCUUGCUUCGCUCCGACCUACUACGAAUACCCCAAUAUAAGUAGCACCAAUGAACUCCAAUAUCUUAAAGCUUACAUAGACGAACAGCGAGAGCAGAUGCAACGUAUCGUAGGGGAUAUACAAAAUGAUCAUAAAAGGCUAGUGCGUGCGCUUGUUAAGUCUACUAUUGCAACACGAGGUUGAACUGAGGGAAUACACACGUAAUUCAUCAGCUACAGGUUGUCACGAUCAGUCACAACCCCUUUAUGGGAUACGAUAGACAUGUACCUUGGGCAACAACAGCCUCCCUACCACAUCGGUGAUAAAUUUGCCGAUUUGCGCGUGUCCGGACCAUCCGCACGUGAGCGCGGAACGUCCGGGCCAGCGGCGGCUGAUCCCAUUUUAAGAAGUGAAUUACCAAGGCAUGCACCCAAGCCGCCACAUACCGUGCAAACCCUAGAUAACCCAUUCGGACCGUCCGCGUAUGGCGCCAGACAGUCCGAAUAUAACGCCAGACGGUCUGGCCACAUGGCUGGACAGUCCGCGCACAGACCGGAUGGUCCGCGUAUUUAACCGGACGGUCCGGCACAGAGUUUUUUUGAGGAGGAUGAAUAUCCAACUCCGCAUCCGUCCCAGGUAAACUCUCCAUCUCACCAUGCGACACACUAGCACCAUAAUAUAACCUACCAAACCUAUGAGAGUGAGUACUUUCCGGCCUCCAGAAGGCCAGAAAGGAAUGGCUAGUCCUAUGAGCCUCAUAGGGCAUGUAUUAACGCGCCACAAAACUCAAACCAAUGGGGAGGAAAACAACAUACCAACAUCCAAACAACCUCACCCAUAUUGGACCAAAGAGUCGGUGGUCUCCCACCGGCUGCCAUCGAUAUAGUAAGAGAGGAAAUAGCUGGGGCGUUCCGAGAUAAGCUCGGAGUUAGUAUAGUCCCCGGGGGGGCAGUCAUAUCGGAGACCUUAUGGUAGCCAUUUUGACCGUCUCCCAUACCCACAAGGGACCAGAAUACCCGAAUUCGCAAAGUUUUCGGUUGACCAAGGAAAGAGCACGCGUGAGCAUAUAAACCAGUUCUUAGCACAAUUAGGAGUAUUGGCCGACACCAAAGCAUUAUGUGUGCGUUUAUUUUCAUUAUCUUUAACAGGGACUGCAUUCACAUGGUAUGCCACGCUCCCUCCUAAUUCCAUUUUGUCAUGGGGAGACUUAGAACAAAAAAUUCAUGAACAUUUCUUCUCUGGCGAUUAUGAGCUAGAUUUAGUAGACUUAGUGGCCCUACGACAAGAAAAGGAUGAAUCAGUUAAUGAUUACAUCCGGAGAUUCCGGGGUACGAGAAACCGAUGUUUUCAAAUUCAUUUAACAGAUAAACAACUGGUGGGAUAGCCUUUGAUGGAUUGCGCUAUUAUUUAAAAGAGAAAUUAGAAGGCAUCCAGUUCUUUACGCUAGCACAAUUACAUCAGAAAGUUUUGGCUUGUGAAAGCCGAAGCAAAGAACUAGUCAAAAUGGUUCAUCAUAAUGUCUAUAUAGUAGAACACAAUCAAGGUAGUUCGGACGAUGAACCAAAGGAAGUUUACACUGCUAAAAUAGUUUGGUCUGAGUAGGCCAAACUGAGGCUUGCUCCUCCUUGCAGUCAGUUCAAAACAAACAACAGGAGGAGGUUAAGUUUACAUUUAAUGUCAGCAAAUGUGAUAAGAUAUUCGAUGAAUUACUAAAAAAUGGUAACAUUAAGAUCGAUUAUACCGUUCCACCCGCCGACGAACUAAAGUGUCGCGCAUAUUGCAAGUGGCACAACUCAUUUUACCAUACCACUAAUGACUGUAAUGUGUUCCGACGACAAAUCCAAUCGGCCAUUGACGAGGGACGAUUGAAAUUUCAGGAGGACAUGGAGUCCUUCCCAAUGAAUAUGAUCGACUUCAAGGGCAAAAGGGUCCUAAUUCGGCCCAGCACAGCCGAUAAGGGCAAAGACAAAGAAGACAUCAUCGGCAACGCACGGGAGGCCGAUGGAAACAAAAAAAAUCUCUUGCAGGAAAGUGGUGGCCGAGAAGACUCCUGAUGGAGGGGAGACACUGAAAGUGACCAUCACAACCUCCGGCUCAGGGGGGCAUGCGCAGACAAGGGGACAUGCGCGAAAACCAAUACCGUGCAUCGCGGACGGUCCGGUGUCCAGGCGCGGACGAUCCGUAACAUCGCCAGACGGUCCGGAUUGUUCUAUCGGACGGUCCGACAACGCCAAGGAGCCACGGCGACCACGUACCUUCAAACCACGACAACCAGAAAUAGGUACAUGGAAAACUAACACAUUCAAGGCAGCUGGUCGGUUGGUCAAACCUGACCUGACCUUUGAUCAAUCAUUAUCCAAGUAUGUGAAAAAGAAGGCCGGCCCCAGUGACCGGCCAGCAAGGCGACCUCGCUCGCCCAUUCAUGAGCAGCGUCAGGAAAGACCGAUUGGACCUCCUCACCAAUCAGAAAAAAUGGAAGGUCAUAUUAUCCAGUUGAGGCCUAACAUACCUGCAUGGACACCUCCACCCUCAUAUAUACCUAUGCCAUAUCCAUAUACAUACAUACCUCCACCAUAUGUCCCAAAUCAAAUGUGGGGCAUGUCAUCAUAUCCAUUUGGGAUGCCACAGUACCCUGCCUGGGGGCACCCCAAACAUCUGUUCUUGACAGGUUGACGCCUCUAGUACAAGACCGAUUGAGAGCCCCUCAAUCUGGUCCAUGAGCACAGGCCCAGCAAGAUUGUCGAACCACUCGGCCCCAAAGGCUGACUAAUCCGGCAGGGGGAUAUAUAGCUACGGCCUCCAACAGUACGAUAAAAGGGGACGUCAUUGAAGUAGGAACAACAGAUGUCAUCGUACAACAAAAUAACGAAGGGUCGAUGAUUUCUGGUAAAUCGGCCAACACAAACAAAAAAGAAGAUACGACUGUCAACAAAACGGCCGAUUCAAAAUACUCCAUGCCCGAUGGUGCCCAUCGGGAUUAACGCGAUCGCAAAAGCGAAAAUUAUAGCGCCUAAGAGCAAAGGAGAACCAGGAAAAGGAGGCGGAAAAAAUAUUCAAUGCCACACACCCGCAGUAUCCGCCACCACAAAAGAGAUGGAGACCAAAGGCCGUUGAUGAAAAUCAAACGGCCACAAAGACAGAAAAUAAAACAACAACUGUGCAGCUCUUUGCAGGUAUGGCAGACAGUCCGGCUAUAAAGACCGGACCAACCGUAUAGGGCGCGGACCGUACAACCCCUGAGGUCGGACUGUCCGCACUACACCAGGACACCUCCAACGACGUACCGACACCCAUGGAGGAAGAUGACCUACAAGGAGAAGACCUGGUCGACUACGGAGCUACGCC
rnacentral:lncRNA from 1 species